rnacentral:lncRNA from 1 species
AUGGUCCAAUAAAAAAUUCGGAGGGGACUAAACUACCACCGUAUCAAACAAAUAUCUCUACAUCUGCUGGUGAAAUUUUCAGAAAACCUUGAAGAAGAAUGUAAGUUAAAGGGUUCGAUCCUUUGACCUGCACAAGGCUCUAGAGAUAGUUGGUUCAUGAAUCAGCUACCUCUUACAAGUCUGACAAGUAAGUUAAUACUUUUCUUACUAUGUGUACAUUGUUGUUCUCAUCCUUUUUUGUGUUAUUAUUGAAUUAUUUGUAAAGAUGUUCAAAUGCACUUCGCUUGCAUCCAUCCCAGUGGAUUUCGAUUGUAAUCAUAUAUACAACUAUAAUAUUGCUCAAUAGAGAGAUUACCUUGAUUGAACUUACUGAUAUCAAGUUCAACCUGAAAUCGUCGUGCAGUGUUGUGUUGAUGAUAUAUGCGUUUCAGAAAAUUCCAUAUCUCCUUUGCAGUAUUAAAUGAACGUAAGCUGUUCACCAUAUGAGGUUCAAUGGAUGCUAAAAUCCAUGAAAUAAUUCGUGAAUCAUUUGAUUCCCAUUGACUUAUUUCUUUCUCAGUUCCAGAAGCAGUAGAAGACCCAUCAAUGUGACCCCAAAGCUCCUUCCCUUUCAGAAACAUUCUGAACUGAAAUUCCCAUGUUGCAUAAUUCUUCCCUGUAAGUCUGAUACCCAAAGUCUCUGCAGAUGGUCUUCCAAAAGAAUUCUCAGCAGCCAUUCUUAACAAAACUCAAAUGCAAAUCCGAAAUCACAGAUUGAUAAACUAAGAAAUAUCAAAACCAGAAUGUUGAUUAUAAAUCAACCCAAAAAGCUAUAGAAAAAAAAAUACUCAAAAUAUCUUAUAGAUUCAAAAGGUAGGCUGUGAUACCAUGACAAAAUUUGAGUAAAUUGACUGGAAUCGGAUCCCUUUCCUCUUCCUGGUCCUUUCUAUUAAAUAAGAAUUCCUGUACAAUCUAUUUUUGGUAAACCCCUAUAUAUACUUGAUUGAUUGACCUAAUAUACAGCUAAUGUAACUGAUUUUCUAUUCUAGGUAAGAAAUAUAUACAGAUUUUAGCCAUAAUGUCUGUCAUAAUCUGCCAUAAUCUUUCCCAUAACCUCUGCCAUAUAAUCUGCCAUAAUCUAUAUAGAUUUUAGCCAUAAUGUCUGUCAUAAUCUGCCAUAAUCUUUCCCAUAACCUCUGCCAUAUAAUCUGCCAUAAUCUUUCCCAUAAUAUCUGCCACAAACUCUGCCAUUGAUACCAUUGAUAAUUUCUACUAUAUAUGAAGCAUAUAUCAAGGUGCUACCCUUCAGUUUUAUUGAUAUCAAACUGACAUUUCAGUUUGCCAUGUUAUCUGGUAGUAGGUGGCAUAUUUAAGAGUUUGAAAGACAAAUCCACUAGACAAAGCUUUCACUGAAAGUACUACUUAGUCAUCCAUCUGCUCUAUUUCUAAAGCAACAGAGCUACACAGGGGCACCGUUGACUCGUCAGAAGAACAACUAUUACUGCUUCUUUGCAUGGAUAUGGGUGAAUCCGGAGGGUAAAACAACGGUUUAGGGGGCAAUUUUAGGCCACUAGCAUCACCUUUAAGCAUUUCUAGAACUUCUUUCAUUGAAGGACGAUCCUCAGGUGUCAUCUGUAUGCACCACAAUGCAAUCAAAAUCAAUUUUCUUGUAAUCGUCUUUUCUUCUUCAGUUGCAUGAUCUCCGAUUUCCAUUUCCACCACCUGAUCGAAUUUGUCAUAUAUCCAUGAAGGGAAGUAUAUUUGACUUGAAUGCUCAGCAUGAGCAUCCACAUUUCUCCUCCUCCCAGCCAUCUCCAUUAGUAACAUUCCAUAGCUGUAAACGUCUGUCUUAUGUGAGACUCUUCCAAUCUUUUUAUAGAACAACUCCGGGGCCAUGUAACCUAAUGUUCCUCUUGCAGCAGUAAGAGUUGCAAUACUCUUUUGCAUCGGGUAAAGUUUUGCAAGUCCAAAGUCCGAAACUUUUGGAACAAAAUUCUCAUCAAGUAAGACGUUAUGCGGUUUAAUAUCAAAAUGCAGAAUUUGCAUAUCACACCCCUGAUGCAAGUACUCAAUCCCACGAGCAACCCCCUUUGCAAUCUCGCAAACUUGCUUCCAACUUAAUGGAGAACCAUUCUGACAAUUUGAGAAAAUUAACUUAUCCAAAGAGCCAUUUGGCAUGUAAUCAUACACUAGAGCAUGUUUUGACGCAGUAACACAAAAUCCCACUAACCGAACCACGUUCACAUGGUGUAUUCUUCCAAUAGUCGCUACUUCAUUGAUGAAUUCUUGGCCAUUGGCUUUUGAUUUGUUCAGCAUCUUGACAGCAACUGGACCUCCACUGCGCAAUUUGCCUUUGUAAACCAAACCAUAGCCUCCUUCACCUAGUUUCUCCUCAAAAUUUUUUGUCAUUGUCUUAAUUUCUUUGUAUGAGUACCUAAUGGGCAUGAGGCUGUUGUUUGCUUGUAGGAAAUCUUCUAUUGUAUCAUACCUCGAUAAAUGCCUCCGACGACACCGAUAAAGGAGGAAAGCAAACAAGAGGAUAAUGCCAAUGAAUUUUAUUGCUGCAAUAAGCAGAACUGAAAUAGAAGAACAAAACAACAAGUUUUAGCAAUGAUUGACUGACUUCUAGUAUAUUCCAAAUAGACAGAGUUUUCAACUACAAAUCAGAUGCCUUACACAAAACUGCGACACCACCUUCCCCGUAAGCUGCUCAUACAAGAAAACUCAAAAGGAUUAUAAUGGAAAUACUGAAAUAUGAAGAGUCUGACUAAUUAAAUAAUGAUUUUUGUGUGUGUGUGUGUAUAUCAAUUAAAUAAGUCUACUCACAUCCAAUUGCGUAGCUGACUCGUCCUUGUGGGAGCCCUGUAUCGCCCAAGGACAAAAAUCAAAAUCAAUGUCCGAGAAUAAAUGCAAAGUAUGUAUUUUUAAACUUUCUAAAUAAUUCAUGUGUUUGUCUAAAUAAACUUUCUAAAAAAGAUAACCAAUGUACUCUAAAAGAUUAAAAUUUUAAAAUAUAUGAGAAUGUAGUCAGCAAUGUUCCUGUAUUUUUUGUUUGCUUACAUAAGAUUUCCAGCAGCAGGAAAUCAAGAGUUAAAUUCAUUAAUUCUUUUGAUCUAGAAAAAACAAAGGCAAGUGGCAAGCCAAGUCAAAAAUUUUCCUAAAAAAUUGGGGGGCCAACUCAAUAGACCAAAAAAGAAAAAAAGGCACGUCAUCAGUUUCUAAAUUCAUUACUAUUAUUGUAUUUUUUUUUGCAUAUUUUGGUGUACAUUUAUAUUUUCUUAUUAUAUACAUAAAUUUUGCUAUCGAUUGUGGACACCAAAUGUUGUAAAAAGUAAAACAAUUUAUCUCAAUAUGUACUAAUCGCUAUAAAAAGUGCAAUAACGAGACACAAUCAUACCAAACAAAAACCUCAUUUGAACACACAAUCAUGCUUGAAGCUAAUAAAUGAAAGGAACUUUACCCACAGUUAACUCAGUCAAAUUUCAUAUGCCACUCUUCCAUCUUUCUUUUUCUCUUUUUGGGAAAAUGAGUUUCGAACAAAGACUGAGCAAGAAUUGCACUAAUAUUAAAAGGAGAAUUUGAGAUAGGUUAAAUCACACUUUCACAUUACUCUAUAUCCAUACCUCCAAUGAUUUUGAAAUAAACAGUUGUACUCAUUAACAAUAUUUUGGUUGUUCUGUUAAAAAAAAAAAAGUUGAACAGCAGUAGCACCAAAAUUAGCCUCCAAACAUACCACUGCAUAUCAUAAAAUCUUUCAAGAUACAAUAGCGUAUCACUAAUUUCCCAAAAAACAUAGUUUCAAGCAGUAGUAUUGAAUAUUCUUUAAAGAUCAUCAUAAGCUAUCAUCAAUCACCAUAUUAAUAAAUCAUCAAAUCAGUGUACUUACAAGGAAAACCUUUCCAGCUCCGCGACUCUCUUAACCAACCGAGCUCAAGGCCAUUAGACAGAAGAUUGUGGAUGUCUUGAAACGAAAUAUCUCCUGCUGUUACAUUAGGGAGACACCGCAGGUCUACAGGAGCUGUCUUAUAGACAGUGCAGGACUCUUUAAUGUCAGAUGCCACCACAGUUUCACCAACCACAACAUAGCUGUAAUAAUUGGACGGAGCUUUCAUUUUUGAAAAAUGAUUUGCAGUGAUAUUACAGGAAGCAGUGUCUACAUAAAGAGGAUAUUUCGAUUUCACCGGAUUUUUACAGCUGACAAAGACCAACGAACCAGCAUCGGGAUCAAUCUCCAUGCCGUAAUGUGUACCAGGUUGAUAAUAGUAGUUGUAGUCGUGUGGACCUAAUGGGUAGACUGGCAGAGUAGAACAGUUGUUUUUUUGCACCCCAGGAUCAAAUAUACGAAGUGUCCGUUGCUCAUAAUCAAUACUGUUUAGCUCCACAGAAAAGUUAUACUGUUGUAUCUCCGGAUGGGUACCACCAAUUAUGGGUAGAACAGUGCGAUUAUUUUCACAAGAGAAUUCAAUAGGGCAUAGAUUUGGAUGAUCACCUCUAAACUGAAAUGGGCACUUUAAAUUGAUGUCAUUACCCACGCAAGUGGAUGGGCUAUGGUCGCAGCUUGUGUGUUUUGAAUUGAAGGUAUGAUAAACAUAUCUGUGACCAUCCCUCAGACCGAUAUAAUCAUAAUAAUAUUCGAAGCCGGAAAAAAAGAAGCCAAUCAGGAUUAGGAGCAACAAAACUACCAAACACUGAAAUUGGAGCAUACUUGUUAAACAUUGACUGAAUGAAUUAUAACAAAAAAAAAAGGGAUGAAGAAGCCAGAUAAAUAUAUAUAUAUACACACACAUAUAUAUAGGAAACAGAGAAGGAGCUCUUUAGUUGGUAAAGAGAACAGAACCUAAGGUCUCCAAUAUGUAUGCCAAAAUUAAUUUAUGAAUUAUCUCUUUCGGAUAGCCUUAUUACAAAACAGUUACUUGAGGCAGAAAGGCCCUAAGAGCCCUCGCCAAAUCAUUAAGCCGACCCUGAUAGUUGAAAUUGAUCGUCAAUUACAACAAAAUCACAUUUUGUGGGGAAAACACUCUAGUAGACUAAACUUAGAUUCUUGCACAUGACAAUUAAGGGUUAUUAUCGAUUGAUUAUUUUUCUUGAUUAUACAUUCUAAAAUUUGGAUCAUUAACUUUUUAAUAUUCUUGCUUCUACAUCUAAACUUUAGAUUUUUUCAAUAGUCAAAAAAAUUAAAAUUAUGAAUCUACUGCAAAUUAGAUUUACCUGAUUCUCAUUAUCCUCACUAAUCACUUUAAUCAAAUUUUGUAAAAUUUCUCAGCAAAUGAGAACAGGCCUAAAUUCUAAUUAGCAGAUCAACUUAAUUUGCCAUUCGUGAAUCAUAAACACAAACUCCAAACUGUUGCGAAUGUUUACUUCCAAAUGCUAACUCGAUAAUAACUAGAAACUACUGUUGCACUAGUUACUUUGUGAUGUAUUAUUUUAUUCUAGAGGAAACGAAGAAAGUGCAGAAAAAAACUCGACAAAGUAGAAUAUGAGCUCUCAGGUCAGUCAAUGGUUGUUUGUUGCAAUUCACACAAGACUAGCUCUCCCUUUUUUUCUCCUUACCCACCAUUACAAGUCAUUCUCAAAGCAAUUUCCGGACAGCUUCAAAACACAACUUAUGCAAAACACAGUCAGGCGUAGACUUGACUCGAAACGAUUUAUUUAUACAGAGAAAACUGCUCUUCCCAUCAAACCUGAAUUAUAGAGAUACAAUCGCUUUACUACAUUGUUAUUAUCACUUUAUCUCUUUAAUUAUAGUGAUACAAUCGCUUUACUCUCUAACAUUAUUUUCUAGACAUUUUAUCCCAUCAUUAAUCUAACCAGUCUGUUAAAAAUUUUUUAAAUGUAUUUACCCCUUUUUUAUAUAUAAUUAAAAAUAAAAAAAGUUGGAAUGACUAUUCUUCCUUUUUCCAUUCUAAGAGUUCCAAAAACAUAAAAAUAAAAUAGUUUUCUUAAAUUUCUUUUUUCACACUUAUUCAUACUAGGAAAAAAAAGAGAUAGGAGAGAAAAAAAACAAAAAAAAAUUAGAUUUUACCAAGAAAGAAAAUAUGGAAGAAUCUAAUAUUAUCAUAUUACUUUAACGUCAUCGAGAUUAGGAUUGGAAUUGGGUGGUAAACUAAAAAGCAAAGUAAUUUUAAAAUAAUAAAAACAUUGAAUUCUUUCUUAUUUGUAUUUUUAAAAAAAAGAAUUGAUUCUCUCUCUCCCUCUCUUUCUCCCUGCCCCCUAUCUUUCUAAUUUUUUUUCAAUAUUAACAAGAUUGUCAAGACGAAAGAAAUUAAUGUUUUGACUUUUUUUCUUGAUACUAAAAAAAAGAAGAGGCACUCUAAGUUUUUUAUUAUUUUUAUUAUACGAAGAGGAGGCUACUUUCUUCUAAAGUUUUUUAACUUUCAAAAUUGGUUUAAUAGCAGAAUAAAUUGCCUGAAAAAUAACUUUAGGGGGUAGAUUGAUAUUGAAGCUAUAGUUUUAUGGGGGGUAAAGUGAUAAUAAUUUUAAGGGUUAAACAUGUCUUUUCACUUCAAUUAACAGACUCCAUUAAGUUUGACCAUUAGUUUUGAAGAUAAAGUGACUAAAAAGUAACGUUCAGAGAAAAAUUCAUAAUAGCACCAAACAUUAAGGGGUAAGGUGAUAACAACCCUCAACUACUAGAUUCAUUAAGCAGUUAUUCAAGUAGUUAGUCAAGACCAUAAUAAAACUUUUCAUAAGCAAUAGAGUCUAUUAUUGCCUACCACAUUUAAGGUUCUUUGCCAAUUAAAUUUGUAAAAAAAAAGUCAUUAUGGAGGGAGAUUUGCAAUCAACAAUAAAUGGUUGAGAGGUAUGAGCUGGUAUUACGAUGAUAUUAUUUUUCACUUGCCAUAGCACUAGGAUUGUCAAUAGUGCCAAAUCAAACUGAGUUUGCUAUAUUUGUUCCACCCAAACUAAGGCUAAGCUUAAUAUGAGAUCAAGCAGGGUUCAAUUUGUGUUUUAAAACUCGGAUCGGACUGGCCGGUUCGACUAAUCGAAUCGGGAACCGGCCAAGUAUCCGGUCUGAGUUAUGCUAAAAAAUCGGCUAAGUAAAAAUCUGGUCAAAUCCUGUUAAAAACCGGGUUUGACCGGGAAAAAUCAGAUUUUCCAGUUCAAUCACGCAUUUAAAAAAAAAAACUCAAACUUUUUUAAUAUUAUGUUUUGACCCCUAAAUUGUUAAAAAUUAUUAAUAUACCUCAAAUAUUUCAUACUUUAUCAAUGUUGUCUUAAAGUUUGGUGUUAUUUUUCAAUUAAACCCAUAAUUUUAAUUCUAAACUUGUUAAUGCUCAUUCAAUAAUAUAAAUUGCUACUUGAUUGUUCUAAUUUUUUUGUAUUUUCUUGUUAAAUAUGUUUGAAACAUCAAAUAUAUAUGAAUAUAGUUUUAUUAAUAUUAACAUGAUAUUAGGUAUUUUAUAUAUAAUAUUUUAAUUUUUAGAUAAUUUUUAUUUAUGAUGUCAUCCGGUUCAACCCCUAUCGAACCCGAUUGAACCCAUUGACUCCUGAUCCCUGAGCUUUACCGAGUCGAUACCCGGUCCGGUUCUGAAAACUUAGGGUUCAAUUUUUGGGCCUAUUAUUGACGCUCAAUUUCAAAGUGAGUUGAUCUUAGGCAAUCCAAGCCCAGCCAUAUCAAGCUUGGCGGGUUAAGAAAUCUAAAAGUUUUCAAAGUGAGCCAAGUUUAGGAUAUGAAAGGUUCAGCCAUAUCCAGUAGCAAAUCAAGAUUAAAGAAAACAAAACUACCAAAGUGUGAAGUUGAAGCAUACUUCUUAAACACCGACUGAGUGAAUUAAAAAAAAAAAAAAAAGAAGCCGGAUAUAUAUAGGAAACGGAGAAGGGGCACUUGGCAAAGAGAAUAGGACCUAAGGUCUCAAAUAGGCCAAAAUCAAUUUGUUGAAUAUCUCUUUCAGAACUAGGCCUUAUUACCAGAGUUACAUGCUGUGACAUAAAAUAGAGGAAAAUAUGUAGCAAAUCAAAUUCAAGAAAAUUAAUUGAUCUGCCAACCUGGAUGUGCCCUUUCAGUAUCCAUAUCAAAGUUCCAAACUAAAUUUUUUUUUUUCGUUUUUUCUUCCUUAAGGGACUCUAGUCUAGACUUUUGAAUAUUUGUUUUAAGCAGUCCAACAAUAGAUUUAUAAAUGAACACUUUAACCCCGAAAAAAAAAAAGAAAAAAAAGGAAAAUUAGUCAAGUAAUGAGUCUACUAAUACAUAAGUUAUAUUAUGGUGAUGCAUGAUGAACAAAAAUUAUUUAUAAGAAAUGAUCUUUAUUUUAAUGACAAACACAAACAAUAUUAUGAUAACUAGUGUAUUCGAUAAAAGAAUAAAAAGAUAUCUGAUGAGAAGCUAAUUAGUUCACUUGAAAAUAUCAAGAUCAGGUUUAGAAAAGUGGUUCACUCGUUCUUUUCCUCUUUAUAAUUUUUGGGGCCCUGGAAUUGAAUGGAGUUUUGAAUAAUUUGAGUUUAUUCCACAUUUGAACGUUUUAACUUUCCAACAACAUCAGACCCAUUAAUGUUUUCCAGAAUAGUCUUUUUUUUUCUUGUAAGUCCCAAUUGAUGGUAACAUGAAAAUCAAGUUGAGUGAAUCCAAAAAAUUUAAAAGAGAAAAAAUCUCUAGACCUAGAUGUCGUCUUUCACAAUUCACACGCUAAAUGUCUAAUUCACACCUAAAUGUCUAAUUGUGUAUUUUAAAAGAAUUUGUCCCAUAUUGAAAAAUCAAAAAGACUUAUAAUCAUUAUAUAAUACUUAGUUUCUUAAUUAAGUAACCUAAACAAUUAUCAAUGAAUACAUAUGAUGGGUUCCUAAAUCCGGGUUUUCUCGUUCCGUAUCAUAAAAUAUGUCAAAGUCAUUGUCGGAUAGGUGUGGAUGGAAGUGUAGAUAUUGAGCAAGCUUCCAUUGUCAUUUACAACGUUUUGAUACAGUAUUAAUUAGGGUAUUGAUGCAGGCAUUAAAUAGUGAAGUCGUUCUUUCUUCUAUCAAUUUCGGGGUCCAGCUGUAGGAGGUUAUAUGUAAUUUAUUCAACUUUUUCACUUUAGAAAUGAAGUCCUUGUUCUAAAUAUAUAUGUUUUCCUAGGAACUGUCUUUUUCCUUUUGCCUCGUUCCCUCCUAAAUUUCUAAGAUUAAAAGAUUAAGAAACUUUAAAAUUCAUAAAAUUAUUUCACUUGGAUGGAUACACCCUGGGCUUUUGUUUAACAUUUUGAAAAUUACAUUACCAAGGUAAUUAUGUUUUAGACUUGUAGUGAUAACUUGAUAACAAUUUUUAAUGAAAAGAUGAAGUUAUAAACCUAAUUCAUUAAUUUAAUGACGAUGUAAGUACAAAAUCAAUACCUUAAGAAGUUUGGUUUACUGGUUAGUGUUUUCCAUGCAUAGAAAAAUCGUACUUUAAUGAGUUAUAAAGAGUUAGUGGUUUCCUUUGUAUUGUUUAUUGAUUUCUUGCAAUUCAAAAUUAUGUAAAUAUUAUUAUUAUUGUCCCAUGUUGGGCUUGAACCUGAAAACAUAUAUAAAAUAAAAUCAAUGUUGCUGAGUAAGAUGAAUCUCCAAAAUUUUUUAGGUAGGAGUAAUAGCACAUAACUUCCCCGAAUCUACUUUUUAGCCAAUAUUAGAGCAGGCAUAACGACACUGUUAUCCGAAAGAAAAGCUUGAAGUUUUGUAGUAGCACAAAAUUUCUGUAAUCUGCUGCUUAACAAUCUCAAGUUUUUGAAUCAAUUUUAAGCCAAGAUCAGAGUAAUCACAACGAUGUAAAUAUAAGGAAGACUGAACCAAUCCUUAUUCCUGUUUUGAAUGAACUAGAAGAACCUUAAUAUAUUUGUGUCCGAUUGAAAAGUUUUCUGGCGCCUUCACUACAAAUCAUUAGGGUGAUGCAUGAGGAGAGGAAAACAAUGUGAACAUUAAUGUAUGAUUUUUUUUUUUUGAAAAAAAAGUAAUGACGAAUGAUGUAUAUGAUAAAAGAAAGUAUGAAAUAUUUGUGAAAAGUGCUAAUUAGCUCAAAUAUCAAGAUCAGCUUUUGGAGAAGUUUUUCUUGUGGAAAUUUUGGAAAGGGGAACAGGAAAAUUUUAAAUUCAUGAGAAGGGAAUAAGUUUUAAGAAAUUUGUAAAUGGGUUAUUGAUUACUAUUCUUAUAUUAUGCAAAAAAAUUAGUGCUGUAGGAAAAUCAUGAAUGUGUGCAUAUGUUAUAUGUUCACAAUUUCAGUAUACAUGUUGAGCCGCAAUUGUUGACGCCCACAAUGGUUGAAUUGGUGGCAAAAUUUUGCAUCCCACAUCGACAAAGGCUUGAGGAAUGCCUUCUUUGGAUUCCUAUAAAUAAGGAAGCCCUCUGAAGGUUUUAACUCGCACCACUCAAGAGAGUUAUAUGGGCUAUUAGCUUCUUGAGUCAUCUAGCCCAUUCAGUUAAAUAUUUUAGGCUCUCUUGUUUUGAGUUUAGGAAUAUUUUCUAAACUCUUUUGUAAGUGCCUAUUGGCCUAGGAACCACUUUCCUACGGCUUUUGUAUUUCUUCUUCAUAGUAGAAAUAUGGCUCCUCCCUCGCCCGUGGACGUAGGUCAAUUUGACCGAACCACGUAAAUCUUCUGUGUCUUUUAUUUGCUUUGUUAUCCGUCUUUAUAUGGUCGGUUUUACCACCUAAUUAUUAUAUGGCCGGUAUCUACCGCCUAUCUAUUAUAUGGUCGGUUAUCCCGCCUACUUUGUUCUAACUUGAGUUUGUCUAUUACCUGGCCCGGUCCUAACAAACUGGUAUCAGAACUGGUUGUUAUAUUUUGCAAGACAGGUUCAUCUGGUGGGGCCCGUUCAUCUGGUGGGGUCCGUCCAUCCUGUGGGGCCCACUCAUCCUGUGGGGUCCGUUUAUCCGUGGGGCCCGCUCACCUUGUGGGGUCCGUUCAUCCCCGUGGGGCUCCGCCGCUCACCCUGUGGGGCCCGCUCACGAGACUUGCAUAUUUGUUUGGCCAGUUUUUUGAGACAAAUUUCAAGUUACAGAUUUUGUGGCAACAAUGACGAUAACAAAGACGGUUGUCGAGAAAUUCGACAGGAAUGUCAACUUCGGAAUGUGGCAGCUCAAGAUGGAGGCCAUUCUUGUUCAAGACGGAGUUGACUUGGCAAUUCAAGGAAUUGAGAAAAAGCCAGAAGAUGUGACAGAUGCAAAUUUUGCUGAGAUGGAUAAGAAGGCAAGAUCCAGUAUUAUCCUAAAUCUCUCCGAUGAGGUAUUGCGUGAGGUAGCAACGGAGACUUCGGCCAAGGCUAUGUGGGAUAAAUUGAAAGCCUUGUAUAUGAAGAAGACAGUCGAGAAUCGGCUAUAUUUGAAGCAGAGUUUGUAUAUGCUUCGGAUGUCUGAAGGUACAUCUAUACUCUCCCAUCUUGAUAAAUUUGAUUCCAUUAUUAUGGAUUUGGAGAAUAUAGAUUCGAAAAUUGAUGAUGAAGAUCAGGCCCUAUUACUUUUAUGUUCCCUUCCCCAAUCCUUUAAGCAUUUCCGUGAUACUAUGAUAUAUGGAAAGGAAACAAUUUCGUAUCGGGAAAUUAAAUCUGCGUUAAAAUCUAAAGAGCAGAUAGAUAGGGAUAUUACUGGGAAAACUAGUGGGAGUCAAGCCGAUGGCUUGUUUGUUCGGGGUAGAUCUGAAAGGAGAAACACAGAAAAUAGAAGUAGAUCUAAGUCCAGACAUAAAAAUGUGGUGUGCAACUAUUGUAAAAAGAAGGGCCAUAUUAUCUCUGAUUGCUUUAAAUUGAAAAAUAAAGAAAAGCAAAAGGGAAAUUUGUUGAGAGAAAUACUGAAACCACCGAGGCUAGUAUUGCCGUUGAUGAGAAUGAUGGAACUAUUUUCUGUGCAACGGAAAAUAAUUUUAGGUCUAACAAUGAGUGGAUUUUAGAUUCGGGUUGUUCAUAUCAUAUGUGUCCCAAUAAGGACUGGUUUUCAACAUAUGAAUCAACUGAAGGUGGAGUUGUCUUAAUGGGCAACAACGCUGUUUGUAAAGUUGUUGGCAAAGGCACAAUCCGGAUUAAAAUGUACGAUGGUAUUGUGAGGACGCUCACAAAUGUUAGACAUGUUCCAGAUUUGAAGAAAAAUCUCAUCUCUUUGGGCACUCUUGAGUCUAUCGGGUGCAGGUAUUCAGGUGGAGACGGAGUUCUUAAAAUCACUCGAGGAGCUCUUGUUGUUAUGAAGGCACACAGAUCUGGUACUUUGUAUAUUUUGCAGGGAUCUACUGUGACAGGUGCUGCUGCUGUUUCAACAUCAUCUUUGUCAGAUACAGACAUCACCAAAUUAUGGCAUAUGCGUUUGGGGCAUAUGAGCGAAAAAGGCUUGGGCAUACUGAGCAAAAGAGGACUUCUGUGUGGACAAAGUACCGGUCCAUUGGAAUUCUGUGAACAUUGUAUUUUUGGGAAGCAGAAAAGAGUCAGCUUCAGUUCACCAGCAAUUCACAAGACAAAAGGUACUCUUGAUUACAUUCAUUCAGAUCUAUGGGGUCCUUCUCGUGCUCCUUCUAAAGGUGGUGCCAGGUACAUGUUGACUUUCAUUGAUGACUAUUCAAGGAAAGUUUGGGUCUAUUUUCUUAAGCACAAAAAUGAUGUUUUCCUAACUUUCAAGCAAUGGAAAGUUUUGAUUGAGAAACAAACAGGAAAACAUGUUAAGCGGUUGAGAACAGAUAAUGGCAUGGAAUUUUGUGGAGGUGAAUUUAAUGAAUUUUGCAAAAAUGAAGGAAUUGUUCGGCAUCACACCGUCAGGAUGACGCCUCAACAAAAUGGUGUGGCCGAACGUAUGAACAGAACGCUUUUGGAGAGAGCAAGAUGUAUGAUCUCCAAUGCAGGGUUGACAAACGACUUUUGGGCAGAGGCGAUCAAUAUGGCCUGUUAUAUUGUCAACCGUUCUCCUUCUGCAUCUCUUGAUUUCAAAACUCCUGAGGAAGUUUGGUCAGGUACUCCUGCUGAUUACUCCAAUUUAAAAGUUUUUGGGUGUCCAGCAUACAUGCACGUGAAUGAUGGAAAAUUGGAGCCUAGGGCUAAAAAGUGCAUUUUUCUUGGGUAUGCUUCUGGGGUGAAAGGAUACAGAUUAUGGUAUCCUGAUCCCAAAUCCCCAAAAUUUGUAAUCAGUAGAGAUGUUACUUUUGAUGAAUUAUCUCUGUUAUCUUCCAAGAAGGAGUCUUCUAGUCCUUGUACUACUGAUAGUACACAGAAGCAGGUGGAGCUUGAUAUUGGCAGUUCUGGUCCUUCUCAAUCCAAAUCUUCUAUUCAACAAGUGCCAGUAGAUACACCUGAAUCUACUGUUGAAGAUAGUUCAGAAGAAGAGGAGUAUUCCAUAGCCAGAGAUAGAGCAAGGAGAGACAUUCGACCACCACAAAGAUAUGCAAAUUUAGUUGCAUAUGCUUUGUCUGUUGCAGAAGAAACUGAUGCAGUUGGUGAGCCUUCCACCUAUUCAGAAGCAGUUUCUUGUGAUGAUUCUGCAAAGUGGUUGAUUGCGAUGAAUGAAGAAAUUGAAUCUAUUCAUCAGAAUGAAACUUGGGUUCUUGUAAAGCCGCCGUCAGCUAAGAAAAUUGUUGGUUGCAAGUGGGUCUUCAAGAAAAAGGAAGGUAUUCCAGGGGUUGAAGAUGCAAGGUAUAAAGCACGAUUAGUUGCAAAGGGCUAUAAUCAGGUACAAGGUGUUGAUUUUAAUGAUAUAUUCUCACCUGUUGUUAAACAUAGCUCUAUUCGUGUUUUGCUUGCUUUAGUUGCCAUGUAUAAUUUGGAGUUAGAACAGCUCGACGUUAAGACAGCUUUCUUACAUGGCGAACUUGAAGAACAAAUUUAUAUGAGACAACCCCAGGGUUUUGAAAUUGAAGGUAAGGAAGACCAUGUUUGCUUGUUGAAGAAAUCCUUAUAUGGAUUGAAGCAGUCUCCAAGACAAUGGUAUAAAAGGUUUGAUUCCUUUAUGUUGGGUCAUGGUUAUUUGAGGAGCAUGUAUGAUAGUUGUGUUUACUUCCGGAAGUUAAAUGAUGGUUCUUUCAUUUAUUUGCUGCUUUAUGUUGAUGACAUGCUCAUUGCUGCCAAGAAUUUGUCAGAAAUUCACACCUUGAAACUGCAGUUAAAUGGUGAAUUUGAAAUGAAAGAUUUGGGAGCAGCUAAGAAAAUUCUUGGCAUGGAUAUCAAUCGAGAUCGAGGAGUAGGAAAGUUAUUUUUGACCCAGAAAAAUUACCUUGAGAAAGUCUUGGAGCGUUUUGGCAUGAAAGAUGCUAAAUCAGUAUCUAUUCCUCUUGCUAGCCAUUUUCGGCUAUCUGCUGCUCAAUCACCAAAAUCAGAUGAAGAGGAAGAUUAUAAGGCACAGGUUCCUUAUUCCAGUGCAGUCGGCAGUAUUAUGUAUGCAAUAGUUUGUACUCGUCCGGAUAUUUCACAAGCAGUCAGUGUUGUUAGUAGAUAUAUGUCUUGCCCUGGUAAAGCACAUUGGCAGGCUGUGAAGUGGAUUCUCAGAUACUUGCGAGGUACUUCAAAUGCAUGUUUGGAGUUUGGAAGAAAUAAUAAUACUUUGGUUGGUUUUGUAGACUCAGACUACGCUGGAGAUCUUGACAGGAGAAGAUCACUUUCAGGCUAUGUAUUUUGCAUUGGCGGUUGUGCUGUUAGUUGGAAAGCUACUCUACAACCUGUCGUAGCUUUAUCUACUACAGAAGCAGAAUAUAUGGCUGUGACCGAGGCAAUCAAAGAAGCCUUGUGGUUGAAGAGUUUAUUUAGCGAGUUAAGUCUAUAUCAAGGUGUUACUGAUAUUCACUGUGAUAGUCAAAGUGCCAUACACUUGACUAAAGAUCAGAUGUAUCAUGAGAGGACGAAACACAUUGAUGUGAAAUAUCACUUCAUUCGGGAUAUCAUUGCUGAGGGAAAAGUCCUUAUUCAGAAAAUCAAUACUAAGGACAAUCCAGCCGAUAUGUUUACAAAGCCUCUUCCAAAUUACAAGUUCAAGCAGUGCUUGGACUUGGUUGGUGUUCGUUGUUUGUGAUUUAGACCCAUUGGGUCUUAUGUGGAGAAGGUGGAGCGAUUUUACUAUUGACGAUGGUGGGACUCAAAAUUAUGCCAAGGUGGAGAUUUGUUGAGCCGCAAUUGUUGACGCCCACAAUGGUUGAAUUGGUGGCAAAAUUUUGCAUCCCACAUCGACAAAGGCUUGAGGAAUGCCUUCUUUGGAUUCCUAUAAAUAAGGAAGCCCUCUGAAGGUUUUAACUCGCACCACUCAAGAGAGUUAUAUGAGCUAUUAGCUUCUUGAGUCAUCUAGCCCAUUCAGUUAAAUAUUUUAGGCUCUCUUGUUUUGAGUUUAGGAAUAUUUUCUAAACUCUUUUGUAAGUGCCUAUUGGCCUAGGAACCACUUUCCUACGGCUUUUGUAUUUCUUCUUCAUAGUAGAAAUAUUGUUCCUCCCUCGCCCGUGGACGUAGGUCAAUUUGACCGAACCACGUAAAUCUUCUGUGUCUUUUAUUUGCUUUGUUAUUCGUCUUUAUAUGGUCGGUUUUACCGCCUAAUUAUUAUAUGGCCGGUAUCUACCGCCUAUCUAUUAUAUGGUCGGUUAUCCCGCCUACUUUGUUCUAACUUGAGUUUGUCUAUUACCUGACCCGGUCCUAACAAUACACACGUACAUAAAUAUCGAUUUAAAUAUACACAUUAUAUAUAUAUAUAUAUAUAUAUAUAUAUAUAUAUAUAUAUUAGAAAAGAGAUGUACAUAUAUAUUCAUUAAGCGUACACUUUUAUUCAAUUAAGAUGCAAAUUACUAUUUAACAAAAUGCACACAGUUAUAAGGAAGAUUUGGACAUCUAAUAAUAAAUUUAUUUGCUAUUAUAAUUCAUUAUUCAUGAAUACUAACCCCUAUCUCAAUUACAAAUUCAGGAAAAAUUACAAUCUUAUGACUUUUGCAUCUUUCAAUUUCCAUUUUUCACAUUUUUCUUUCUUUUCUUUUUUCCACUUAACUUUUAGACCCUCGAAUUUGGAGUGAUCUGUGGAGUAUCAGCACUAUUCCACCAACCAUGCAUUUUCUUUUAUUGGAAUGACGACCAUUGGCAGCUGAAUCUUGAAUUCUGAGGAAGGCAAAACUCGACUUGAAUGCUGAGUCCAAUAUACUCUUUCGGUUGUCAACGUUUUGCAGAUUAGGGUAUUUUUCUUGUAAGCCCGAGUUGAUGGUAACGCGAAAAUAAAGUUGAGCAAAUCAAAAAAUUUUAAAAGAGCAAAAAAUCUCUAGGCCUAGGUGUAGUUUUUCACAAUUUGCACGCUAAAUGUCUAAUUGGAAAAUGGGCUUCAGUAGUCAAACAGGUUUUAGUGAGGAAGACUUUGUCUACUUAUACUUUUCUCCUUACUAAAGUUUCUCUUUCAUAAUUUUUUUUUUUUUUUUUUUUUGCUUUGAGUAUCCAGUUUCCCCACCUUUAGUGAGACUAGUCCCGUUCGAGGACCGGUCGCAGAGUCCAACUCUUAUUCGAGAGUAAAGGUUUGGACCAAAAUUUCUCAAGACGCCAAAUACAAGAGUCGAACAUGCGAUUUCUCGUUGACAUUAGUAACCUGAUUACCAACUGCCUCAAACUCGUAGGUUUCUCUAUUUCAUAGUUAACGAACUUUGAACGCAAACUUUUGCGCGUCCGAUCUAGACUGCUUUCCUUCCUUCAGGGAAACUCUCUUUUUUUUUGUUUCCUUUUUCUUUUGAGGUAGACCUACGUAGACUUCUAAAGUCGUUGGUCAUUGUACUAAAGUCAUCGUUGUUUUGCUUGUUAGCCCCAGUUGGUGGUACACGAAACUUUAAGAGCAUUUUCCAUAUCGGAUAGGUGUUGAUAGAAGUAUGGACGUUGAGCUUUCAUUGUCAUCUACAGAUAUCACAUAGUAAAUAUGUCAAAUUAGCGUUUUGAUACCGGCAUUAAUUAGUCAAGUCGUUCUUACUUCUAGCGUUUUGGUACAGGCAUUAAUUAGUCAAGUCAUCCUUACUUCUAUCAAUUUUGGGAUUCAACUAUAAGGGGCAGAAACAUGCAGCUAGGACCUACUUAGCAAUUCUGCUUGUAGGGGCACAAAAACAUAGUAUCUUAUCUUGUUUUUAUUCUUAGUUCCUACAAUUCUAUUCUUCUCUUUUUUUUCUUUCUUUUUCCACACGGAGAUGGCAAACCAAGUUGAAUGUAGACAAGGAAUCUCUUUUGAUUUAUUGAUGACCAGAAGGAAAUUCUUAUCGGACAAAUUCAGUCAGAUUUUGUUGUAUUUGCAUUUCCAAGCAAUUUCAUACUGGGCUCCAUAUCCAUUGAUACUUAGGACGAAGAUGCAUUUAUUUUAUUAUACAUGAAAAUUCUACUGAGUGAUGGAAAACGUAGCUGGGUUAAUACUCUACCCACUCUUUUCCAUAACAAAGUCACAAGUUAGCAAUUACUACUUUGUAACUAAUUGCGGUUUAUAAUUUUCGAAAGAAAAAAAAAACCAACUGCGUAAAAUCAACUAAUUGUGUCAUUGAUUAAAAAAGUAUUUUAGUUCCACACUUCCAUUGGAAUAAAAAUGCCAACACUACAUUGGCUAAUCCAUGAAUAGUAAUCCCAAUCUCAAUUACAAAUUCAGGAAAAGUUACACCCUUAUGAAUUUUGCAGCUUCCAAUUCCCAUUUUUCACGUUUUUCUUUCUUUUUAUUUUUUUUCUCUUUUAACUUUUAGAGGCUUGAAAUUCUAUUGACCUGGGAGGCUUUCACAUUUCCACGAUAGACCCGUAGGAUUGAGAUAUAUAGUGUUUAUUGGGAUCCACUCAUAAAAUGAUGGACAUUGAUAACUGAUUAUCGACUUGAAUUCUGAGGGAACCAUUUGUAUGCUGAUUAAUUCUACACUUGUUGCAGAUUUGAUCUCAUAAUUAAUAAAAUUAUUCUAUUUUAUUAUUUAAAAAAUUCUGAGGGAAGUAAAUCCCGAUUUCAAUACUGAGUCCUUCAUUGUUCUUAUUAUUUUCCAAUUUACUCCUCCUGUUGUUAAUGUUGCAGAAUAGUCUUUUUCCUUGUGAGCCCAGUUGAUGGCAACACGAAAAUCAAGUCGAGUAAAUCCAAAAAAUUUUAAAAGAGAAAAAAUCUCAACACUUUUUUUUUUUUGAUAAUAGAAAAAAUCUCAAGACUUAGAUGGGAUCUUUAACAAUUCGCACGCUAAAUGUCUUAUUGAAAAAUGCGUCCGCCUAAAUCUCUUACUGGUUAGUGUUUUCCAUACAUAGAAAAAUCGUACUUUAAUGAGUUAUAAAGACCUAGUUGUUUCCUUUGUAUUGUUUAUUGAUUUCUUGCAAUUCAAAAUUAUGUAAAUAUUAUUAUUGUCCCAUGUUGGGCUUGAACCUGAAAAAAAAUAAAAUCAAAUCAAUCUCGCUGAGUAAGAUGAAUCUCCAAUAAAGACUAAGAUAAUUGUUUUGAACUAAGAACAUCAAAAUUUUUGAGGUAGGAGUAAUAGCACAUAACUUCCCCGAAUCUACUUUUUAGUCAAUAUUAGAGCAGGCAUAACGACACAGUUAUCCGAAAGAAAAGCUUAAAGUUUUGUAGUAGCACAAAAUUUCUGUAAUCUGCUGCUUAACAAUCGCAAGUUUUUGAAUCAAUUUUAAGCCAAGUUCAGAGAUCAGAGUAACCACAACAAUGUAACUAUAAGGAAGACUGAACCAAUCCUUAUUCUUGUUUUGAAUGCGCUAGAAGAACCUUAAUAUAUUUGUGUCCGAUUGAAAAGUUUUCGGGUGCCUUCACUACAAAUCAUUAGGGUGAUGCAUGAGGAGAAGAAAAGGUGUCGAGCCUGCAUAAUAAUAAAUACUUACGCGACAGAAAUACAAAUUUUGUAUAUAGCGGUGAACAGGGUCGAAUCCACAGGAAUUGGGGAUGAUUCGUUUCUUCUAGAAUUCAGAAUAUGAGGGGAUUUAAAAAAUAUAAAAUAACUAAUUAACUAACUAAUGAAACAACUAAUAGAAAUAAACAGGAAUUAAACAAUAACCAAUAACCAAUAACCAAUACAACUCUAGUUAAAGGUGCAAUUUUUCAGAUACGGUCCAUUUAACUAAUAAUCUAUGUAAAGAUAAUUCAAUUACUCACUAAUAGAUUGGUUAUAGUUGUCAUGCACGCGAUAAACAACCAGUCUUUCCUUACUUUUUCGAUAGUCAAGGUACGAUCAUUAACUAUUUCUCUAACCAAAAAAUAAUCCUAGGUACGAUCAUAGGAUUUAAUUUCUCGAUUGCAAUAAGAAUUAGAAAAAUUUAACUCUAACUAACAAAUACGCUACGAGGAUUCGUUUAAGUUAGAUCAUACGUUUCCCUAACAUGAAACCAAUCACGCUAGUUGCCACUGGUAUUAAUCAAUUGAAUAAUUACGGAUUCAACCAAUUAAUCUAGUAGUAGAUUAUUAGGUUAAUUCGAAUAUCAGGGCAUUGAUAUUCAAAUAACAUAACAAUCAUAAAAAGUUAAAUUAGGAAACGUACAAAUACUAAUAAAUAAAAGAAAAUAAGUAAAAUAAUUUGAUCUCACAAAUGUUUGGAACCGAGUUCUCAAAUUGGCCUUCGACUAGAAAAUAAAGAUUCAGCUACACAUUCUCAAGGGAAAUCCAUGAAAUUUCCUUGAAGCCAUUCGCAUGAGUAUUCCACUGAAAGGAAGAAAAAAUGCCGAGAUCAGCCAAGUGGCAGUCUCCCCUUUUCUUGUUCCCUGGCCAAGGUAGUAAUCACGUGGGAUUCUGGCCUUUUUUCCUCUUUGUUUCCUAAUUGAAGUCUACUACUUCGCCCAUCCAUUGGCCAACCAAAAAUAGAAUUCUAAUUGCAAAAGGAAACUUCUCCAAAUAAUGCUAAUUGUUUCCUAAUAAGACAUCUAAUAAAAAGUGGCAAUCCCCUAAUCUUCAACCAAUACUCCACGUAGACUCUAUCUUAAUUUGGAAAACUCUUGAAAAAUCCCCUCUUUUAUUACUUUUUACUCCACCUUCCUACAAUUGACACAAAAUACCAAAUAUAAGUAGAAUCAAUCAAUUAAUACAAUAUUUGGUAAUAUAAACGAGGGAAACAAUCAUAAAAUUAAUGAUAAAAAUGUAACCUAUCAUUAGGGUGAUGCAUGAGGAGAGGAAAACAAUGUAAACAUUAAUGUAUAAUUUUUUUUUUUUUGAAAAAAACUAAUGACGAAUGAUGUAUAUGAUAAAAGAAAGUAUGAAAUAUUCGUGAAAAGUGCUAAUUAGCUCAAAUAUCAAGAUCAGCUUUUGGAGAAGUUUUUCUUGGGGAAAUUUUGGAAAGGGGAACAGGAAAAUUUUAAAUUCAUGAGAAGGGAAUAAGUUUUAAGAAAUUUGUAAAUGGGUUAUUGAUUACUAUUCUUAUAUUAAGCAAAAAAUUAGUGCUGCAGGAAAAUCAUGAAUGUGUACAUAUGUUAUUAUAACAUUGUUAUAUGUUCACAAUUUCAGUAUACACACGUACAUAAAUAUCAAUUUAAAUAUACACUAUAUAUAUAUAUAUAUAUAUAUAUAUAUAUAAGAGAUGUACAUAUAUAUUCAUUAAGCGUACAUUUUUAUUCAUUAAGAUCCAAAUUACUGUUUAAUAAAAUGCACACAGUUAUAAGGGUGAAUUGGACAUCUAAUAAUAAAUUUAUUUGCUUUUAUAAUUCACGAAUACUAAACCCUAUCUCAAUUACAAAUUCAGGAAAAAUUACAAUCUUAUGACUUUUGCAUCUUUCAAUUUGCAUUUUUCACAUUUUUCUUUCUUUCCUUUUUUUCCACUUAACUUUUAGACCCUCGAAUUUGGAGUGAUCUGUGGAGUAUCAACACUACUCCACCAACCAUGCGUUUUCUUUUAUUGGAAUGACGACCAUUGGCAGCUGAAUCUUGAAUUCUGAGGAAGGCAAAACUCGACUUGAAUGCUGAGUCCAAUAUACUCUUUCGGUUGUCAACGUUUUGCAGAUUAGGGUAUUUUUCUUGUAAGCCCGAGUUGAUGGUAACGCGAAAAUAAAGUUGAGCAAAUCAAAAAAUUUUAAAAGAGCAAAAAAUCUCUAGGCCUAGGUGUAGUUUUUCACAAUUUGCACGCUAAAUGUCUAAUUGGAAAAUGGGCUUCAGUAGUCAAAAAGGUUAUAGCGAGGAAGACUUUCUCUACUUAUACUUUUCUCAGUAAAGUUUCUCUUUUAUAAUAUUUUUUUUUUUUUUGCUUUGAUCAUCCGAUGCCCCCACCUUCAGUAAAACUAUCCAGAUUUGAUCUGAGGAGCGCUCGUAGAGUCCACCCUUAUUCGAGGGUGAAGGCUGGACCAAAACUUUUCAAAACAGCACAUGCAAGAGUCGAACAUGCAACCUCCCAUUGACAUUAGCAACCCAGUUAUCAAUUGUCCCAAAGCUCAUAAGUUUCUCUCUUUCACAAUUAACGAGCUCUGAAUGCAAACUUCUGCAUGUCCAAUCUAGUGUGCUUUCCUCCCUUCAGGGAAACUCUCUUUUUUUUUUUUCCCCUUUUUCUUUUGAGGUAGACCUAUGUAGACUUUAAAAGUCGUUGGUCUUUGUACUAAAGUCAUCUUUUUUUUUUUUUUUUGCUUGUUAGCCCCAGUUGAUGGUACACAAAACUUUAAGAGCAGUUUCCAUAUCAGAAAGGAUGGAAAAGUUCAAAUGAAUUGCCGUAUAAGUGUUGAUAGAAGUGUGGAUGUUGAGCAAAACUUCAAUGUGAUCUACAGAUAUCACAUAGUAAAUAUGUCAACUUAGCGUUUUGAAACAUCAAGAUCAGGCUUUAAUUAGUCAAGUCAUUCUUUCUUCUAUCAAUUUUGGGUCCAACUAUAGGUGGUUGUAUGUAAUUUUUCCAACUUUUUAUUCUUGUUACACACCACGUAAGUGGAAAACUUUUAAUGGUGUAUUGUAAUGGUACCAUCGUAAAUUUUCAUGUUGUAUUUUUAGUAUAACAAAUGAUGCACUUCAAUUCUCCACACCUUAUACUUACAAAAAAUAUGUUCUUCAAAGUCACCCUAAAUCGCAUCCCCAUUUAAAAAAGAAUAUGUCUGCUAAAUUGAGAUAAAAAAAGAAAAUUAUCAAUUUUGGUCGAAAAACAUUAAAAGCAGAAAGCUUACACACCGCGUCAUGAACAUCACUCCUUAAUGGUCAGUCUACACCAAAAGCCAGUUCAAACGUAUGAUUGCGCAAUUUUCUGCAAUGGGGCAGAAACAUGCAGCUAUGGCCUACUUAGCAAUUCUGCGCCACAAAAAAAAAAUAUAGUACUUGCAGAAGACAACUCAAUAUCUUAUCUUGUUUUUAUUCCUAGUUCCUACGAUUUAUUCUUCUCUUUUCUUCGUUCUUUUUCCACACGGAGAUGGCCAACCAAGUUGAAUGUUGACUGGGAAUCUCUUUUGAUUUAUUGAUGGAAGGAAAUUCUUAUCAUACUAUUUCAGUCAGAUUUUGUAGUAUUUGCAUUUCCAAGCAAUUUCAUACUGGGCUUCAUAUCCAUUGAUAUUUAGGACGAAGAUACAUUUAUUUUAUUGUACAGGAAAAUUCUACUGAGUGAUGGAAAAUGUAGCUGGGGUAAUUGACUAAAAUGUACUUGUAGCUAAUACUCUAACCCUUCUUUACCGGUAAAACCAACAGGCGGAUUGAUCAGAUGACUUUAGAAGAAGACUUUAGAUAUAUUAAGCAAGUGCUAAUACAGUGAGUAUUGCUGUACAAAGUUACAAGUUACAGAUCAUUGAGAGUAGUUUGCAAUUACCACAUGUGACUCGUUGUGGCUUCUAAUUUUCAAAACAAAAAAAAAAAAUCAACUGCAUAAUUAUGAAGAGCUUGACAAGAUAAAAUUAACUAAUUUUGUCAUUGAUUUAAAAUGUGUUUUAGUUCCACACUAGUCUACUCCAUUUCUUGGCUACAGAGUUGCACAGUUGUUCUGUUGACUCUUCAGAGCAUUUCGAAAAUUUCUUUCAUUGAAAGACGGUCAUUUGGGGUCAUUUGGACGCACCACAAUGCUUUCAAAACUAAACUAAUUUCCCCGCAAUUUCAUUUUCUUCUUCAGUCAUACGAUCUCCAAUUUCCUUGUCCUCCUCUUGGUUGAACUUUUCUCUUUGUAUUAUUAUAACAUUUUUGAUUGAUAAUCGUCACAGGAAGAUUAAUCAACUUCUAGAAUACCAACAAGCAUACUUUUCUUGUUGGGCUCCAUUGAUGGCCUAGUCUUUCUGUUGUUAUUGCUGUGUAAGAAAAUUAAAAUAACAUUUGCUCUGUUAGGCCGCAAUGGACCGUAACAUGAAAAUUUGGUUGAGCAGAAAAAUCCAACAGAAUCUAUAGCAAACGGAUAUAGCUAUAAACUGGGGAUGUCAACUUGAAAAUGCUUUUGGCUUGUUGCUUGAAAGCGAAUUCUUACAGCACAAAUUAUCAUAAAAAGGAGGUCAAGUGAAAGCUUUUGGACGUAUUGGCUUAUUGCUCAUAUUUAGAAAAUAUUAGAAAUAGUUUUACAGAAUAUUGGAAGCUACUGUCUACGAUAUAUCACAAUUGUAAAAUAACAAUCGACAUAUUAUGCAUAAGUCAAAAGCCACUCCUAAAGCUAAUGAAUUUCUUGAUUAACCACGGAUCAAUCUUUUAUCUUUCCCAAUUUGUUCAACUCAUCUCAAACAUUUACUCUUCCUAAAGGCAAGACUAAUUUUUUUCCCCUUUACAAUUCCUUCACCUAUAUUUUAAUUCAUAAUCAUUAAUUCUUUGGAAGUUAUACUUAUUUUAAGUUUUCAUUUAGAAUUUUUUGAUGAUUAUUAAUUUGUCAAAUAUUCUUAUUCUAAUAUUAUUUUUAUAUAUUUUAAUCACUUCAGCCAUUUUAGUUUUUAAACACGAGUAAUUUCGAUAUUUUUAUAGGUUCCGUUAUAAAUGAUUAUUUUCGUUAGUUUAAUACUUAAUCUAAAUUAUAAGGAGGUUAUAUAUAGCUUUUAAAACUAUAAAAGGAUUAUGUAAAAAAUAACUAUACCACGUGGGGGUAAAGUGUAUUUUGCCCUAAAAAAAAUGGCCACCAAACCCAAAUCACCUUUUCUCCCCCUUCUCCAUUUUCAUCUACCAAAACCCUAAGCAUAAGCCACCAAACCCAAACAAGAAUGUAAUUUUCCCAACCUUACAAAUGAAACUGGAAGCUCCACUAGGUUGAUGUUUCAAAUGAACCAAGAAGCAAGAAUUCCUCAAUAUGUUGAUGUACAAAUCCCUUCACCCAUGAGAACUCAUCGGGUCCUUUUGUGAUAAAAGGCCAAAACAAAAAUGAGUUUUAAUAAAUUUAUAGUUUAUACCUUCCUGCUAUGUAGGGAAUGCUAGUUGGAAAAUUAGCAAGGGAUAAUCUCAGUCAUUGCCUAAACAAUUUUAUGAUCUUCACUAUUGCUUUCGUAGCAGUGACCCUAUGUUGGAUCCCUACAAACCUGUGAGCACAAAAUCAGUAAAUUGAUGGUACCAAAUUGCAGGGAAAGGGAUCAAUCACAUGCCUAUGCUUUACUUACUCCAAUACAUGGUGCAAAAGUAUAUGAGAUUCCAGUAGCUCUAGUUUCAAGUGCAGUUGCAACUGCAAAAGUAUAUGGGAUUCCAGUAGCUCUAGUUUCAAGUGCAAUUGCAACUCCUAGCCUCUUCACAAGUUCUGGGGAUGGGAAAGAAAGCGUGGUUUGAGUUUGGUGGCUUAUUAUUAGAGUUUUGGUAGAUGAAAAUGGGGAAGAGGGAGAAAGGAUGGUUUGGGUUUGGCGGCAAUUUUUUUUUUUAACAAAGAGAACGAAGUGUAUUUCUAUUUUUGCCCUUGAAAAUAUGGACAUGUAACAGGGGUGUACAGUUUUUUAUUGGAGAAGUGAGAGGAAAUGAGUUCUAGAACCAAUUGGGUAGACUUUUUUAUAUAUUAGGAUCUAAUGUGGCUGAUUUUAAAUGUAAUGGACCAGAAAAAAAAUUUUGUUGAAAAUGUGAGGGACCAAUUUGGUAAUUGAUCCUCAAUAUUAAAUUAACUGGUCUUGACACAUCAUGAUAAGUUGUCAAUUAGUCAAAUGGUUUCAUUUUCUACUAUCAAUUUUGGGGUUCACGAAUUGAAGUCGUCUGUGGAAUUUUUGACUAAUAAAUCCGUAGAAUUCUACGAACCAUACUUUUUUGAGAUGGACUAGGUCUAAUGCUAGAAACUGGUUAGCAAAUGCAUUAAAAACUAGAUGCUGAACUCCACAGUCUCAAACCCUGAUUGGUUUCCUGAUAUCAAGACAUUUGCAAUUUGCAUGACAAAAUUUGUGGAAUUAUGAAUUUACUUGCAUACAGUCAGUCAACGGUCGUUUCACAUGACUAUUACAAUUGGUUUAGCUGAUUCCCAAUAUCCCUUUAACCAACUAAAUGUGGCUUUAUCAAAAGCAAUUUCGUGACAGAUUUAGAACAUCUCGCCAGCUGGAAGUAGACUUGACUGUUAACAUAUUCCUUGUGCUGCAGACCAUGAUCCUACCUUUGACGUUUACAGUGAAGAGCUCAGACAUGGAAACAGGGGGAUUGAUCACAGUGGCUAUUUGUUUUUCUGCUUAUAUCCACUGAGCAACUAAGUAUUGGCUUGGUGUUUUUCUUUUAUUUCCUUACUGCAUCAUAUCCGCUGUAUUUAGGACUAAUUCAGCGAUGCAAAUCAAUACUUCCACUAACUUUCAGUUGCUUUUUAAACUAUUGUCACGGUUAAUUUGUAUAAUGAAAUCUUCAAGUGAUCCAAACUCGGUCCAAUCACAUGUGGGCUGGUGGCCACCACCUAAGUGGGUGGGGUGGGAGGUAAGGGUUCAGAGCUAGUCUCCCACCAAAAAUGCUACAUUUAAGUAGUUUGUUUCUAAAAAAAUCCAGACGGGUGUGCUGUGCACCCGUCUGGUCCAGUGGUAGUUUAUUCCCCUCCGCAUUACCCCUAUACCUCCUUAGCUCCGGCCCCUCCCCCUUAGUGUAGGAUAGAUUAGGUUUAUCGUCUCCGAAAAAAAAAUCCAUUUACCUAAAUUUACCCAUAUCCGCCCAUGAAUAGAUGUGUAUGGGUAUAUUAAAUUUUUGCAUAUGAGUAUAAAUGGGUUACCCAAUAAUACCCAUUUAAUAAAUGGAUAUUAUUGGAUAACCCAUCAAACCCAAUUAACCCAUUUAAAACUGUCUUCUCUCAUACCAUCUCUCUUCCCCCACCCUUUUUUUUUUCAAAAUUUUCAUUUUAUCAAGAUGUUAACUACUUUUGUUUCAUUAUUAUUAUUAUUAUUAUUUGUUGGUUUUAUCUUAUCAUUUUAUUUUCUUUUAGUUUGUUAACUUGCUCAUUUUUCAACAUUACUAAUUUAUGACAAGUUUUAGCCUCUUUUCUUACUUUUUCAAAAUGAAAUUUUAAGUUUACACACAAAAAAAUACUAGAGGUUCAAAAUUUUUGAAUUAAGUUUUUAUAUUAACUUUUAUACUACUUAGUUCAAAUUUUUAUAUUCUUAUUGUUUAAUUAUUAAAUAGUAUGUAAUUUUGCGACAUAGAGUACGGAUGGGAAAAAAUUUAUAAUUAGCCUUAUUGAGCAUUAUAAGUAAAUAUUUAAAACUAAUGAUGGGUGUAAAGGAUGGUAUAAAUUGAUAACUUAGUUUGUAAAAAUGAAUUUACAAAAAAUUAAAAUAAAUGGGUUAUAAAUGGGUAAUUGGGUUACCCAAUUCAUUUUUGACUUACCUAUUUAUACCCAUCUAUUUUUUGAUGGGUAUAAAUGGAUUGAUUCACUUAUACCCAUUAUCCAUUUUAUCCAAUCCAAAUCCGCCCAAAUCACUCAUUUUGACACCUCUAUGCAUAUCACACAAUACCUGCAUUACUGGGACAUGCUGAGCAAAAGUAAAUUCAGUGUUAACGCAUAAAAUAAAGAAGCGUACUUGCUACUAUAUAUCGUAGUUGUAUUGAAGAAAUUAGAUAUUGCAGGUAAAUUUCUUUUGGUCUUCGUGUUAUUUAUUUUAGAGAUGAAAAGCAAACUUAAAACUGAGCGUUUGACAACAGGUCCAAUUAUAGGAUUUCUUUUUCUUGCAGUAGCAAUUAGUGCAGUUUGCCACAUUCAUUCCAGAAAGGAAAUAGACAAAGAAAACCAAAUGAGAAUCAGUAUAGUUUUAGCAGACUGCUGAUGGAUUCAAACGAGCUCUUCUUUAUGAGUUCCUACCAAAUGGUUCUUUAUGAGGUUAUACUAAAUUACUAAUUAAAUUUUUUAUUAAUUAUACAGUUUUUUUUUUUACACUAAUUAUACACUUCUUUUCCCUGCGGAUGUGGGUGGGACGGGGCAGGGGGAGCGAGUGACAGGGGAUGGAGCGGGGAAAUGUUUGGGCAAUAGGUUAUGCUGCAGCUCCUUCAAGAGCAUUUUUUACUACAUUUUUUUUUAAUUUCUUUUGAAUAAUCUCCUCUACAUUACAUCAAUUUCUUUCUUUUCACUCCUUAAAGUGAUGUUGAAAGUGGGACGGAUGCUGAUUUCAAAUCCUAUUAGUAUAAAACUCUUAUGGUUGGAGACAAAGAUGAUGAUUGAUAUGCAAUAUUUAUAAGUUUGAUGGGUUUUUUUUUUUUAUUUGUAGUAUUACACAUUUACACUGUAGUGCAUUUAUAUUGGGAAAUUGGAUUAUAUUUUCUUAAUUUCUAGAAACUUUGAUGGAAGCAUUUUUUAAAAAAAAAUCAAAUAGAUUGAGUAUUUCCCGCCUUUAUUCGGAAGUCUCUAAACUUUUAUUUUUUAAAUCUAUUUCUAGAAUACUUGUAUUUUUAAUUUCCCAUACCUGGCCGGUUGAACCAAUUGGACUGAAGCCGAACACUUGGCCAGGUCACCGCCGAGUUUAAACAACAAAUACCCGGCUGACUUAAAUUUGCAAGUCGACUGGUGAUUGGGUAUUAGAUUUUGGUUCCCCAAAUGCAAACCUAUGGAAGCUUGUCCAAAGGAAAAUAGUUAUACCCCUUCCAGUACUUGUAGGGAUCCUUUUUACAUGGAGAAAAAGAUGACUGCUAGUAGCUCGAUGCAUUCUUAAGGACUCAUUUCGCUUCCUUCUGUGUUUUUAGAGAGAGAGAGAGAGAGAGUAUUAUAGCAAUUUUGCAAAUCCUGUUUAGAUCUACUUGCUAGUUAAUUCGUCCGUGCUUGAUUUGUAUUCUGCAGUUAAAAAAAAGGCUCACAUGACAUACAAAGCUAUCAAUCUGCAAUAAGAUAGCCAAUUUAUGAUAUCAACAGGUAAUAAAAUCUGACAAAGAGUCGUUGAUUUCCAAUGGCGGCCUGUCAAUUUCACAUGCAAGUGCAUGAUGAUUUAGAAACCAGGAACUAGAAAGUUUGCAGCUGAAGAUAUGGGAUCACAAUUACAAUCAACAUUGAUUUCAACGGUAGCACGAUCCCUUGUUUGGCACAAACUAGAGGUUCUGCAAAGAAAAGUGAAAUAUGAGAGAACACAAAUUGAGAAAGCCACGCCUUUUCGUGUCCUGAAGAAAAACCUAGAUUUACUUCAGCCACCAUUAUUACAGAAGCUUGAAAAUACUCAUAAGAACUUCCUGUAUGGCCUCCCUGCAUCCUCAUCUUGCAUAUGCUGUCACCAAAGCAAUCGUUGUUAAACUUACGUGGAAGUAUACAGGACAGCACACAUAAAUGAAUCAGAAAUAAAAACAAAUACUUUAGCCUUCAUAUAAAAGAAAUAAACACAUUUAAAGAAACGAGAAUCCCAAAUGUUUCAGUAUUAGUUUUAAAAAAAAUAUAUUGCAGAGGAUAACCAAGUCCAAAAAUCAGGCCAAAGACCAAAAACAAAAAGGCUAAAACUGCAUAUCGCACUCUCCAGAAUCAAUUCCAGUAAAAUUUUACGCAGCUUACAAUCAGGCAGCAUAUGGUUCACUUCACUAUAUAAGCAAUCACUACUGCCAGCCAUAUGAAAGAACAAACGUGAAAUUUCUAAUGCCGGAACACACUCUUAAAGGUAGCUAAAGCUCAUGGGAUAAUAUACUACAGUGGCAGUCCUCCAAAAGAAUGUGCUCUGUUCAAUCUUGUUCUGUAUGCACUUAAGUAUCAACUACAAGAAGCACAGCCGGUAUGGUUUUUCACAUGAAGUACGACAAAAUCACUGUACACAAUAAAGUGUCAACUCAGACAAACACUAGGACAUAGUAAUUCUUAUUUUCUUCUAUUUUUAUAAACAUUUACAUACCUAUUACUUCUACCCAAAAAGUUCCACUUAAUCUUUUCUGAUACUAAAGUCCCAUUCUCCAUUUUGCGUUCUUUCCCUGCGCGUUAAACUGAUAGGUUGGCUAAAAAUUUGAACGCUGGUUUGCCUAUUAAUUGUACUAGAUUUCAAGGGCUUAAACAACUAUUGGAGUUUUGUCACUAAAGAAUUGAAAAUCUUAUUCAAAUUUCUAAGGAUGUCCUUUUGAUCCUAGAAAUACAAAAAUUGUUGAUUUACCUACCUCAAACAACGACUUCUCAAGACUAAUACGGCAGCUCCUACUAUUGCAUAUCUUUCAGCAGGUUAUGCUAGUAAUUGGGAUCCUUUAAAAAUUAACUUGACUCCCAAGUCAGUAUAUAGCAUAUCCGACUUUAAAGUCAGCAUUUCAAAAAAGCAAUUUCUGGUUUUGCAACCAAAUGGUAUUAGUCCAUCAAACUACCCCAUCCAGCUUGAUAAUGAUCUCGCUGUUUAUUCAAAGCAAAAUAAGAAAGUGGGAGCUUGAUGGCAAGGAAUCCAUUUGGAAUAAAAAAAGGUUUGAGCAAAGUGCACUUUUUACAACUUUAGGGUCAAUCUUGCACACAACUAUGAUACUUUAAUCAAAGCCAGAUUUUACAUUUUCCCAAACCCAGAAACCGCUGUACUCCAACACGACAAAUCACCACUUAAAAAAUAACGAACUAGAACCUCUCCGAAAGCAAACACAACUUAGGAGUUUCUCCUAAAAAAGAAAAACAUUUUGGCAAAAGAACUCUUUUUAAGUCAUGUCUCGCUUCUUUCUAGAUACUCUGACACAUUCUCAAGCCUCAUUGCUCAUACAUAUUUACAUCGAACGUUGAAAAUGCUCUGAAUCAGUGGUACAAUAACAAUAAUGCACCCAAGAAAAAAUUGUCUCUUUGCAAACCCACAAGUCCUUUAUGCUUCAAUUUGCACAGUGCAUCUAAUAUAACUAAAAAGGCUUCAACUUGGUAACAUUACAAUUGGGCUAAUCAUAGUGACACUGCACUUUUUGCCAAUGGCCCUCCAUUUCUUCAUCUUCUUUUAUCAAAAUUGCAAAAGAUAUAGAGUGCCAUCAACGACAAUUGGAGUGCCAGUAUCAUCACUCUCAUAACUAAUACUUAGCUGCCCAAAUGCCUAAUUAACCAAGUAUAACCUAAGACCCAAAAUGCUAAUUGCACAAUUAACUAAUCAAUUCUGCAGAACUGAAAAAAGAAAAACCCUAAUUUCCACCAAUCACCAAGGAAUUUGAGCAGCAAUCAGAUCCAAAAAUAGGGCAGGCAUCUAUCGGGUGUCGUCUUCAACAGAUAAUAAGAAAGAAUAACUCCGAAAAAGGGAAAAAAGGAAAAGGUUCAUUUUGGGGCUUACGAAUUCACGAACGAUGCCCUUGUAGAUUAAGACCGGGAUGGCGACGCCGAAGAUGCCGACGAGAGCCAGGUUCCGGCGGGUCCAUCGGAAGUUGUGCUCCAGAUUCUCUCUGGCAGUUGACCAAUCUUCGAUCCAACGGUUCUUAUUUGUUUCCAUUCCUCCGCCCAUUUUCAGCCGAGUCGGGUCGGACCGUCUUCUUCUUCUUCUUCCUUUCUACUGCUGCUUGAGAGUGAGCUCUGGAAAUGGAUACUCUCGGUAAGGAGCAAAUGGAGCUUGGAAUUUGGCCGGCCGAAAAGAAAGAAUAAAUGGAUAUAUUUAUUAGUGUGAAAUGACAGAAUUAUCCUCACCAUUGUUUUCGGAAAUUGGACUAAUACCCUUUCAAAAUUUGAGUCAUGUUUCUUUUACCCCCUAACAAGGCAAAUCUAAGAAUUGUAGAUUAAUAACAAAGGCCAUCUAGAAAAAGUAAAAGUACUAUUUUAGUAGUAGUAAUAAUAAUGACUUUUUUUUUGUUGUUGUUUGGAACUUGCAUAACAUUUACGGAUUGGUACUUGAUUUAGGAGAAGUUUGAUAGUAUUUAAAGUUAUUGAAAUCAAUCUUGCUAUAUUGAUUUUGGUCAAAGAGUGGUUGUACUUUAAAUUCAAUUUUCACAUCCCUCGAUGAGUCAAAACUGUAAAACUUUAAUAUCCAUAUUUGAGCAAAAGUUGAUUUCCUCAACUUUUAUUCCAUAUAAAAUUUUAGCCACUGAUUUUCAAGUAUUCAAGUUAUAACAAGUAACAACUAUGUAAUUUUUGCAACAAUUCCUUUUAUCCAUCAAGUCUCCAUAUCUUUUUCAUGAAGGAAAGGCAAGCCAGAUUAUAAGAAAUAUUUGUUAAUUUGUCUUACCAAUAUAUAGCAAGUGUUUCCAUUUCUCUAGAAUGGGUAAUUUUUUAUAACAUGUUAUAAAUUUAUGUCACAGUUAUAUAUAAUAUCCAAUAAUUUUAAAAAAAAUAUUGAGCAUUUAAUUAUUAAUAUUGUUCUUAAAAACAGAAUAUAUUAAAUUAAAGUAGGAAUCACUUUUCGAAUUGAUCACAAAAAAGUGGUUUUAUAUUGAUAUGAUAUGAAUACUUGCAUAUGCUUUGUGGCCAUCCCCACACCAAAAGAAGGACAUGAAUGGAUGUAUAUCUGUGUUUUCAAACUUGGACAGAUCGGCUGGUCCGACCGGUUGAACCGAAAAUCGGUCGAGUGUUCGAUCCGAGUUGAUCAUCAAAACCGGGAGGUUCAAAACCCGGUCAAUUCCGGUCAAAAUCCGGGUUUGACCGGUACAGAACCGAAAAAACCGGUCCAAGAGGAGCUUUUAUAAAAAAAUUCAAACUUUUUUAAUAUUAUAUUUUGGCCCCCUAAAUUGUGAAAACUUAUUAAUAUAUCUCAAAUAUUUCAUACUUUAUAAAUAUUGUCCUAAAAUUUGAUGUUAUUUUUCAAUUAAAUCCAUAAUUUUAAUUCUAAACUUGUUAAUGUUUAUUAAAUAAUAUAAAUUGUUACUUGAUUGUUCUAAUUUCUUUGUAUUUUCUUGUUAAAUAUAUUUGAAACAUCAAAUAUAUAUGAAUAUACCUUUAUUAAUAUCAAUAUGUUAUUGGAUAUUUUAUAUAUAAUAAUUUAAUUUUUAAAUAAUUUUUAUUUAUGACAUCAUCCAGUUCGACCCCUAUCGACCUCCGGUCGAACCCAUUGACCCUGACCCCUGACCUCGGCCGAGUCGAUAUCCGGUCCGGUUCUGAAAACAUAGAUGUAUAUCUUACUCUUUUCUUCAAAGUUUUUAUUUACGAGUUUUUUUUUUUUGAGUAUCCUUUAGGUAUUUGUUAAUAUAACUAAAUUCCAUACAACCUGUCAUGUACACACACACAAUAUCAAUUAUUAUCUUCUUUUAUAUUUAUAUAUAUAUAUAUAUUAAUUGAUCUUAUCUUUCUAAAUAUAUCUUAACGGGUGUCCAAUGAACAUUCGUUAUAGAACUUCUAUUGACUCUAUUUAUUUAGACACAUAUACACCUAAAUUUAAUUACACCAACAAACACAUAUGUUCCUCAACCCUAUUUACACGGCUAAAGAGCAAGGAAAAGCAAUACUUCCAUAAUCUGGCUGUGUAUUAUGUGCGUGUGCUUUACAAAGAGAAUGAUUUUGGGAUCAUGCAGUUGACAUCAAGAACAGCAUGAAAAAGUUAAGGUACUAAGUCCUAGAGACAUUGCUAUUUGCGCCUGAGAGGAAGGGUAGGCAGGGUUUUUCAGACGGGGUACGCGCGGGGCAGGAGACGUAGGGUAGGCGGGGUCUAUUUUCAGUUAACAAAACUAGUGGAAUUUUUUUUUUUUAAAUUAGGAACAAUCAAAAGAUUGAUAUCCAUGUUUGAUAAGACUGAAAUUUGAAAAUUUAAAUUUAAAAUCUAAAAUUUAAAUCAAUUAAAUCAAUUAAAUUAUUAAAUAUUAAAUAUGAUAUAUAUGAGUGCAUAUCAUAUUAAAAUGAUAAGUGAAUAAUUUAUCGCUAAUAUUGAAGCAAAUUUUGCCUAGAAAAUUCGAUGUUACUUAAUUAAUUGAGAUGUUCUAUUUUUUGUUAUUAAACUCAUUUGAACAUGUUAAAAUCUGACUUUAUUAAAUUUAAAUAUUGAACUGGUUAUCAAAUGGGACCUUAGGUCAUUGACGUAUGUUACUUAAGCACUACUCAAAUUAAAACCUGUUAAAAACAUCAUACAUUGUUGUCCAGCUGUUGCAGUGUUAAUAUUUUGUGCCCUUCAUCCAUCAUAGCAAGUUAUUUUUUUAAUAAAUAAGGAAUAUUUAUUAAUGAAAUAGUUCAAAAUCGUCUAAUGGUUCUUAAAUCAUAGCAAGUCAUUAGUCCUACCUGGUUUGGAGUCUCAAUGGUUCUUAAAUCAUGAAACUCGAACGGCUGAUGGUCAAAUAUCCUUAUUUUGAAAUUUAAUAGCCUAAAUAAUUCGGUGAAAUGUACUACAAGAUGGAGUUAUCAUAUCUACUAGUUUAUUAAAGGGAAUAAUUUCAGAAAUCUCUCAUGAAGUGUCUAACAAUUGUAGACAGUACGCUCUACUUUAUAAAAAUUAUACGUGCCUCCUUGAUUAAUAGGUCUCGAUAACCAAAGGUUAGCAUCAGACGCAAGAAUAAAAUUUUAGUACAAAAAUACCCCUUGUAUUGAAAUCAAAAGGCAAAAAAUAAUUAAUGAAAUCAAUCACCAACAUCUACCAACCAGCUUCUACACUUUGCUACACCUCUGCUAAUUACCUAAGAAACCAUCUACCACCGUCUCUAAUGCCUUCACCAACCAAAAUUCUAAAUAACUUCAGCCUUUUACCAUCUAUUCCUUUGCCGAGCAAAGAUGGACUCCUCCAGACUAGGGGUGUUAUCAGAAUUAACACAGAUGCUGCACUAAACCAUAAGAAAGGAAAUGUAAGGAAAAGUGAAUGGGGCAUUGUUACUGGACGAUGAUUGCAACUUGAGCCAUACCAGGAAAGGGAGGUGCUGAGCCAAUGAUUGAGGAAGCAAAGACAAUUAGACAUGACCUGGUGGAAGCAAAAGAAGAAGGAUGGGGAUGGCGAUAUUGUGUCAGUCAGAGUCAGACUGCAAGGCACCUGUUGGAAGAAUCAAAGAUAGAUCCGAUGAUGAAUUUAUUUUAAUAUAUUUUUAUUUUCUGUUAGUCCAAACAUGUAAAAAGUAAUCAAUUUGGGGUAGUCUUGUUACGAUCGAAGCAGUAAGUCGAGGAAAUUAUUACUAUUCUUUGGACAAGAUUUUGAAGGAGGAUCGAAGAAUCACUUACAUGUUGGAUAACAUGACUUUGCUCUGUCCCUUUCAAUAUAUAUAUCUAUUUUUUGGUUGAUAAGUCUUGCCAAAUUCUAAAAAGUACGAAAAAUGUGGUGCCCUUGUUCCCUAGUAGGGCUUUUUCUUUUCCGUUUAUGAUCAGUUUUAAUAAGUCAUCCUUGAACAAUUUCCGAAUUGGACUCACUUUACAAUGAAAUUUACUUCAGUGAACAUAUAUUUCCUAUAUUAUACAUAUAAUUUUUUCCUAAUUCAUCCCCAAGUAUUUUUUGAUCAAGAUAAAUUUCUAUUUCAUAAGGAAGAUUAAACCAAGAAGAUUUGCUUUAUAAUACACAACCUCGAAAUCAGUCUUACAUCGAUAAAUUCAACAAUAAUUGCAAAAUAUAUUUAUGUUUUAGAGCACGUGCAUCGCACAUUUUAUGUUACUUUUUAUUAUUAUUAUUUACAUGUGCUAUUUAGAGCAGUCCUCAGUGAAGAUCAUUUAAGAGUUCAUUUACGCGCCUCUACAUUUUGUUAAAAUAUAUAUUUACAGACCUCCAGAUUUACUGUCAUAUUUUUAUUUUUUAUUUUUGGUCACUCGGAACAUGGACUCAAAUCCUUAGUAUUUGAGCUAGCACAUCAAAUUGGAGGAGUGCGCCACGACUCCACACAACGACCCCGGGCGAGUCAUAGGGAUUUAAAUCUAGGGUAAAAUUCGAACCCAAGACCUCAAGGGUGCUCAAGAGCCCGCUUACUACUGGACCAUCCUAGUGAGGGCGAUUUACUGCCAUAUUUCUUUAAUGUAUAAUAACGUUAAUUUUUCUCAUGAAACAAAACAUGUGAAGAUCAUUUUCUUGGGAAAAUUUUCAUUCCUGCUAUUGUUGAAUGUUUAAAUUCUAAAAGCCAUACUUCCUCUUGUUCUUUUGUAGUUUUCAACAAGUCAUCCUUCAGUAAUUUCCUCGUUGAAUCCUUUCCAAAAUCGAUCAAUUCAUUUCAAUGAAAUUUUAUUUUUCAAUUAAAAUUGGAAUGUUCUCCAAAAACCAUCCCUAAAUAGUUUGUUAAGUAAAAACUUUGAUUUCGUGAGGAAAUUAAUGGCAACAAACUUCUAUUUAUAAAAUACAAACUCAAACUCAGUAUUAUUUCAAUACAUCUAACUCGGAAUCCCAGGUCACGAGCAUUCAUUCUGUCCUCCUGUUUCGUCUCUUUCAAGCAAAGUAUUAUAUGUAAACAUGAACAUGUCUUACAUCUUUUGCUUUACUUGUUCUCAAAAUUCCUCCUUGGAAUUUGGUCUGUCUCCAGGAAAUGGUGAUCAACCUAUUGAACAAUUUCAAUUUCUUUCAAAGUAGGCAGUUUCAGGAUUUAUCUUUCCAAUGGGUUAUUAGCUCUUCUGCUUCGAUCAAAAGAUGGUGGUCAUAACGACUUUUACAAACCCAACCUUCAGCAUAGGCAUAUUCCAAGGUUCAAUCUAUUGGAAAGAAAGCUUUUCUUUGUGACUCUGAACAUUGUGUUUGACCCUUUAAAGUCUAAUCACUACAAACUUGUAUGUCCAUGAUCAGACCGUUACACGGCAAAUGAAUGGAUCUAGUUGAAACCCUCUAAGGAGAAAUGCAUUCUCUGUAUGCUCAUCAGAAAACUGGGAUUUGGAGCAACAAUGAUGAUACAUAUUCAGUGUAUAGUUAUCUCAUAAAUGGAAUGUUGGGGAAUGGAAAUCUUCACUAAUUGGAUGGAAGGACAAUUUGUGCUUUGAUUUAGAUAAAGAAUGCAUUAAUUUGAAAAUGCCUUCUCUUCAUAUGCAUCAAGAAAACUUCCAUAUUUGGUACUUUGCAGUGUCUGAAGAAUGUUUGUAUAUUAUUGAGGUUAACGAUCCACAAGCAAUAUUGUUCGACAUUUUUUAGAUGAAAAGAAACUAUUUGCAAUGGGCUUUAAGGUAUCACAUAACCUUACUCCUUUGACAACUUUGUACCGUUCAACGGUGGAUGAAGUCCCUAGUCCGUCCAAUCAUGAUCAAUGUAGAUUUUGCUUAUCUUGUUUUCUUAAGGAUGAGAAAGAAAAGAAGCCAAGGCUUGUGGAUCCUGUGCUGGGUAAGGUAUUUUUCUACAAGGUUAAGGAGCUUGUUGAAGUAAAGCCAGUGGAUUUUGAUCAUGGAUGGAAUAAUAACUUUCAUCAUUGGAUGUAUUUCAACCACGCUCAUGGUGAUGAUUUCUAGUGUUUGAUUUCAUGAAGAAAUUUACAACAACAAAAUACUAUUUGCAGUGUAAAAUAUAUAACUUGCAUUUAUUUCAAUGGAUACAGUCAUGUUUCGGAGAACGAGUGUUGCACGUUAAAAUGGCUAUUACUUUUCAUGAGAAUUAUUUAAAUUCUAUUUUUCCUAAAUAACAAUAGUGUAGAAUUUGUUUAAGACUCUUCUCUAUUUUCUUAGAAGUUGUUAUGGUCUGAGAGUUUUGUGUACAUUUGAUGCCCUACUUCUUUUAUGCAAAAUACCUCAUUCUUCUCCCUUUUUUUUUGGUCGAAACGAUAGAUCUCAUUCCUCUCCGGUGGAACAGAACAAGUGAAGAUAAAAUGCCUUUUUUUUGGAUAAAUUUCACUUUAUCCCUUCAAACUAUAUGCGGAAUCUCGCUUCUAUUCUUAAACUUUAAAAUGCAAUACUUAAACUCUAAACUAUAAAAUUCUUCCUAAUUAAGUAAAAUCAUUGACGGAGUGUAGAAUAUCAUUAGCGUUUUAAGGGCAUGGAAAACACGUGCUGAUUAGCAAUGGCAUCAAAGAAAAUCCAUGAAAAAAGAGUAGAAAUUAAGGGGUCAUGGAUGUGCCCUACACAAAAUAGAGUAGUUUAGCGGAGCUUUGUAAACUUGAUUGGGAUUGGCUGCAGCAGUGAACUCUUGUCUGACGGGAUACCUGAAUAACCAUCAUCGAUAGCAAGAUAACCUUCAUUAUCCAAUAGAUUGAAAGUCCAAUUAUACCCUGGAUAAUAAUAAUUGUAACAGCUGGUGGGUGGAUAAUAAAUACCUUGCUUUGCAUCUGACGGGAGAAGCUGUGUCAGAAGUUAAUCCUUUUUUUUUUCUUUUAAGCAAGGUCUUUCUCAAGUAGUAGCAUAAUCAGGCUUCAGAGCUUGAACUAUCUGUUACUUUUUCGCAUCUACUUGAGAUUCUGCAUAUAGUUUGAAGGAACAAAAUGGAAUUUACCUUUUUUUUGCCCUACUCCUAUUGAAUGUUUAAUUUCUCGAAACUGUGCAUUAAUUUCUUGUUGAGAAGUGCAUUAAUGUUUCGAAGCACGCGCUUCAUUGACACGUUACUUUUCAAGAUACUCUUUUUUAAAAAAAAAAAAAAAAUUUUCUAGCAAGGAAAUGGUGACAUUUAAAAAGUGGGGAAGCGAUAGGGGAACUCUAAUUUCUUAUUCUCAACUUUAGUCACUACAUCAUACUCUUCUCGACACUUUUAAAGAUAAUGAUUUCAAUAUUAAUAAUAAAGCUAGCAAAGUAAGAGUUUACAAACAACACCUCUACAUUUUGCAAUUAGAAUAUCUAAUGAAAUUAGAGUUUUCUCCAAAUUUGUUGCCCUAUUUCUUUAUGUAUAAUAUCGUAACUUUUCUCAUGGAAAAAACAUGUGAAGAUCAUUGCCCAAGUAAACUUUUCUUUCAUUCCAUUUUUGAGUGUAAGUUUGAAGUUAGUCGCUGUGUUCCUCAUUGAACUCUAUCCAAAAUUAAUUUUAUUUCAAUGAAAUUCUAUUUUCUAAAUUAGAACUGGAAUGUUCUCCACAACCCAUCCCAAAAUUGUUUUGCUCUGUAAGAGCUUUGAGAUCAAGAAGAAGUUAUGUUGACAAUAUCUCAUUCAUAAAAUGCAGCCUCAAGCUCGAUAUUAUUUCAAUAAAUCCAACUUAGAAUCCCACGUCAUGGGCCCUCUUCCCAAUUCGUAUUUCGUAUUUUAUUUUUGUUUCAACUUUUUAAGAUUUUGAUGAAUUCUUCGACCCCAAAACCAAAAGAAAUAUCCAGAAACUAGCUCCUCUUCUAACAUAGAAUUUGUGACAAUCAUGCGACAAACGGAAAAGUCGUCACUGUAUCCAUAUAAUGACUACUUUGUGGCUUUUAGUGACAACUUUUUGUUGUCACAAAAGGCCAAUUUUCUUAUAGUGGCAGCAGCCAACUAAUUCCCCAAAAAUAAAUUAUUCUGUUUGGAUCAGCUAUUUUUUGAGGUAUUUUUGAAAUAUUUUACUGUAGUAAUAUAGUUGAAAAACUUUUAUUGUAGAUGAAGCUAUUUUUAGGUUAUUUUUGUAUUUUUGGUGUUUUUUAAAGUAAUUUUUAUGUUUUUGGUGUUUUGAAGUUGUUUUUUUAUAUUUUUUUUAGGUUGCUUUUUUGGCGUUUUUGAGGUUGCUUUGCACAUGACUAUAAUAUUACAAAAUAUAAUAUUUCUUUUACAUUAAAAUUUAUUUGUACGAAUUUUAAAAUGAAUUCAAUAUUUGCAUGUUUUCUAUUUGCUUUUUUGUUUUUAUUUUUAUUUUUUUAUUAAUUAGGAGAUAUUGAACUCAAGACUUCGUACUUACAAUCUUUCCUAUCUUACCACCCAACCCAAUCCUCUCUCUACUUUCUUUUUUAUUUAAUUUUUCAUCUUCUUCAGUUAAUUGUCCUUAAAAAUUAUUUUAAAAGCAAAAAAGGGUUCACAAAAUGUUAUAUCUAUAAAAUCAUUAUAUUUCUAUAGAAUUUUUAACAACUGAGGAUACAUUCAAUCUCUUUCAAUUUAUAAUAAUGAUUUUAAGGAUAAUUAAUUAAAGAAGAUGAAAAAUUAGCAUUUAAAAAAUAAAGAUUUGACCAAAUAUGAAAUAAUUUGACAAAAGUAUUAAUAUUUUGAAUGGUACGUACAAUAUUGAUACUUCUAAUUACUUCUUUUUUUUCCCAAGACAAACAAAUUAUGAUAAUACCACUAAAAAUUUUUAAAUUGAUAUAUAAAAAAAAUUAUUUUUAUUUUGGAGGUGAAUGACCUAAAUUUGCAUGCUAAACAAAAGUUAAUUAUUUGCUAACUAUUGGGGUUGACUUAGUAGUUAGAGGAGAACUCUUAGACUUCUCUCUAAUGUCAAGUCCAGAAUUUGAAUCAUGUGCCUAACAAUUAGGGAUGGAAAAGACAUGGGAAAAGGUAGGAGGGAAAAUAAAAUAAAACAAAAUUAUUUGCAUAACUAUCUGUUGCAUGCUCUACCAUUAUUAUUUUUCAUAUUACAUAAGUUGAGUUUGUCAGUUGUUUGAUGAAAUUCCUAAAUAUGAACUCUUAUGCGCCAUAUUUUGAAAAAUGAAGAAAUAUAUAUUCUUUAAAAUUGAAUUCUUUGUAUUAUUUUUUUUUCAAUAACUUUUUUUUUGUAUAAGCGGAAGGAUUCGAAUCCGAGACCUCUUACUUAUACUUCCUCCCUCCUUACCACCCAACCCAACCCUCCCCCGAACUCUUUGUAUUAUUUGAUGUGCUAUUUCUAUUGAUAAUAAAGUAUAAAUGAUCCACCACAUAUAAACUUUUUCUAUCUAACUAUUCAUUUUUUGAGAAUUGAAAUUUCAUUGGUAGAGAUAAUUGAGUUUUUCUUUUUUUUUUUAAAUUUUUUGGAUAGGAUCUAGUAUAAAGCACAAAUGACAAAGAUUCUAUUAUCCUAAGAGCACCUUGUUUUGGUAUCAAUAGUACUAUUUAUGAAGAUUUGAAAUUUUAAUUAGGUCAUGACUAAUCAAGAAUUUUUAAUGAAAUAAAAAAAUUGAAAAUAGAAUGCAAAGAGCCACACACUGGUUUGGAGUGUUAUGUUUUAUUUAUUAUCUUCAUAAUUCAAAGGUUACAGUUUUUUUCCUAACUGCUACUGUUAUUGCUAUUGUUGAAAUGUAAUAAAUCUAAUUAUUAGGCAAAGGGUAUUUUGGACAACUAGAUAAUAAAGACCAGAUCCUCCUUGGUCUCUAAUAUUUAACAUUUUGUCUUGCCGUCAGCCAUUAUUUUCUUUUAAAUCAAUAGAUAUGAUAAUAAAGUUUAAUCAUCAUAGUAGAUUAAAACUAAAAAGUGCAUAGUAUGAAAUUUCAAUCAUCAAUUAAUAAAGGCAUACUGGGAAUAAUAAAAAAAAAUAAGAUCACAACAAUACUUACACUUCAAAGUAUCAAAAUUCAUGGUACCUUUUAUAUAGUAGUAGUAGUAGUAAUAAUAAUGAACCAUUAUUUUCUUUGAAAUCAAUUGAUAAUAUAAUGAAUUUUAAUCAUCAUAAUAGAUUAAAAAGAGUAUAAUAUGAAACUUCAAUCAUCAAUUAAUAAGGGCAUAAUUGAAAUAACAAAAUUAAGAUCACAACAAUACUUGCAUUCCAAAAUACCAAAACUCAUGGCACUUUUCAUAUAGUAAUGAUAAUGAUAGGGACUUUCAGUUCAUUAUCCAUAUUGUUAGGGAAUUUUCUCAUCAAGUAGUAUGAUCGAUAACAAAUUUGAAAACUCUUCUUGGCCCCAAAAGGAAAGAAAGAUGGUUGUUAGCUGUUCCCUAUAAUUUAGGACUUGAAAGAUAUUGUUUACAAUUACUGGUUUCUUGUAGCUGCUUAACAUUCGGAAACUUAAAUAUACUGCACGACUCUGCUGCAUAUUCAAAUCGAUAUCCUUCUUCGGGUAUAGCAUUAUUGCAGAAAUAAGAAUGAGAAUACCUCCUACUAAAAGCAAAAAUCUCAAAACUCUGGUUAGGAAGCAACAAUAUCCGUUGAGAUUGUGGGAAGCACUGAAGAUCUUCUGAUAAUCAUUCUGUCGAAAUUGCUGGCAAGAUAUCUGUAGCAACUUACAUUUCAAAGUUGUCUCAAGACAAUGGCAUGCUCGCGUCUCAUGCUCCAAACUUGCUCUUCUGCACUUCACUCUUAGUGCCUUGCCAUCUCUGGCUUCGUUUUCAACAGAAAAGCAGGAGUUCAGUUCAUUCCUCUUGAUUGUGAUUUCUGUAAUAGUGCUUCAGCCCUCUCUUGCAAAGCCUUUUCGGAUUAGCCAAAACAUAAAAAUUUUGUACUCUUGCAAUGGCUUAUUGCUUUGUAGUGAUACUUGGUUCAAUUGUUGGAAUGACAUCCUCAAUCUCUUCCUUUAUAAUCCUACUCUCAGUUGGUAUAUAUAACAGUCUUAGGAGUCCCUAUGCUGAUUUGAUUAGCUGUACCUAAAAUCUUGUGGUUAUAUUCUGGUUUGUGGUGAUGACUUGAGUCAUAACCACCUAAAUUUUUUACCAAAAAAAGGGUUGGUUUAUAUAGAUAUCUGGCUUUGAAGGCAUGUGGAGAAACAGACCUAUCUUAUUAUAUUUUCAAUGAACUUCAUUGAACUCUGGCUUUUGAUCAUGAGGUAAGUUGUCGGCCUUACUCAAACAAUAAUUAUCUCAAUGAGUGCACGAGAAUUGCACAUUGGCGUAUUCCUUUUGUGUCAAUUAUCUAAAGAGACACAGAUCAAGAAAAUAUGGUUACUCCACAAUUAAAUGCAAAGACUCAAAAGGAGAGGUGUGAUUGCUUUAUCUUCCUCUACACCAUGGCGUCCAAGGAAAAGUUGCAAGUACAGUAAAGAAAUGAAUACAUGUAAUAUACUUGUUUAGAAGCACGUUACUGGCUUGUUGGCUUGUUACAUUUCAUGAUAGUUUUUUAAAUAUUGUUGUUUUUAUUGAAUAACAAUACUGACAAUACUUUAAUUCAAUCACACAAUCCGCCCUAUUUGUCAGCAAAAUGGCUCCAAAUUGGUCGUAAAAAACAAAUAGCCUCGCCCCAAACCUGCUGUGCGUGUUGCCUCUUUUGCUGGCUUGGCCUGCUCCAAGGUCCUGAUAGCACCAAUCAACCCCAGGGAGUGAUACAGACUAGCAUUAGCAACUAUGAUUUAACUCAAAAGAAAUGAAAUCUAUUAGUCCUUCAUCACCUAUCCAGAAUAUGAAAAGCCAACUCAAAUGUAACGCCAUCGGCGUAGAAAAGAACUCGUAAACUUGACUGAGUUAAUAGGAACAAUUAAUCACAUCACAACUAUUGAACAAAAAGAACUUUGAAGCUUCCAGCAUUCACAAUCAAAACCACCUUCCUUCCCGCAUUAAAUUGAUUUCAUAGUAUUCUCUACCAGAACAGAGAACUAAUAACUGAAACUUUUGGAAACUGGUAAGAUCCCACAUGAAACAAAUACCACUGAUUGUAAUCUGGGCACAUUGCAAAAUGCCUUCUAUCCGACAUUCCUAAGACUACCCUUUCUGGGUCCUUCCAAUUUGGCCGAUACUGGCUCCACCCGAGCCAAGUUCUUCGUUGAAUUAAUCAAUUGAAGAUAGAAAAUGUCAGAUUUGUCGCUGCAAAAAUCUCAUGCCAGUCACUUGACAAUGGUUCUAUGAUUCCGUCAGUCUUCAAAAAUUUGAUGGAAUGGACUGAUUGAAUCAAAUAGUUCAGUGGGCUAGCCAACAUGAGAAAGAGUUUAAUAGUUUAAAUGAGAAUCUAAAAUGGUUUAGUGGGUGAGAGUGCAUUUUGUUGAGUUUGUUUUUGUAUCCCACGUCAGAAGUUUUAUAAAGAAAUCUCUCAUCUUGAUAAUUAUAAAUAGUGGAUUUAAGUAACUUUAAAUGUGCUAAGGGCACUAACCCAAGUUCUGUAAGCACCAAAUCAAGAGAAUUUUAGGGGGCCAAGGCCCUAAUUUGAGAGGAGUGUUGGUUAGACGUAAAACCAAAAGAGCUUAGUUACUGAGCUUUUGAGCCGUUAAGCAUUUUGCUUUAUUUAGAUUCUUUUAUAUUUUUAAUUUUAGGUGUCUUUAAGUCUUGAAAUAAUUUCCUAAGGUUUUAUACUCUUCUUUUGUACUCUCUUUCUAUUAUAGUAAAUAUGCUACUCCUUCACACGUGGACGUAAGUCAAUUCGAUCGAAUCACGUAAAAUUUUAUGUUUUCUAUUUAUUUUAUUUGUUUUGUUAUUAUCUUUAUUGGGUGAACCCUAUUGUUCUUGUUAAUCAAUUUCCUAAAACCAGACCUAACCAACUAGUAUCAAAGCUUCAAGCUCUGAGUUCUUGAUGACGAUAACUAAGUCAAUUCGAUCGAAUCACGUAAAAUUUUAUGUUUUCUAUUUAUUUUAUUUGUUUUGUUAUUAUCUUUAUUGGGUGAACCCUAUUGUUCUUGUUAAUCAAUUUCCUAAAACCAAACCUAACAAACUAGUAUCAAAGCUUCAAGCUCUGAGUUCUUGAUCUCGAUAACAAACUAUCAAUAUCAAUUUCGGGACAUUGAUUUAGUGCUACAGAAAGUAGAGAAAGAACCCCCUAGAGUUCAGUUCGAUUUUUGUAAAGAAUACCUGUUUGGGCGGUGAUAAGUGACUAAUUUACACUAUAUUUGAAUUAUAUUUUAUGUUAUUUUUAGUCACUUUGGUUAUAUUAUUGGAAGAAAAUAAAUCAUUUUGGCUAUAAUUGAGGAAAAAUGUCUUAAGUGAUUAAAUGAGGUUUUUAUCAUUUUUUACUUGCAUUUUGUGCAUUUUUGACAGUUUUGACAUACUUUCUUAUUUCGGCUAUAACUUGAGCUACAGUGACCGGAUUGAGAUGAUUCUUGAAUUAAUUUGAAUAUAAGAGAUAGAUCUACAAUUUGGUGAAGACAUCGAAAUCCAGUUCUAAGGUUUUCCAGGUCAAAAAGCCGAAUUGCAGUAGCCAAUUUCUAUGGGUCAAAGCUGAAACAGAGCAUUGAGCAGUCAAGGGUAUUUCAGUCAUUUCUCAGCCUGCACAAAUCCAAAUGAGGUGAUUCUUGAUGCAUUGGAAAGCUAACUCAAAGGGCUACAAGUUUUAUGUUUUGGUCAAGAGUUAAAUCAGCUUGUAUCAUCAAGAAAAGUUCAGUUGAAGUUGAGGCAAAAUCAGACCAGAGCUGGAAAUUGAACAGAAAUUGCACAAAAAGUCACUGUAGCAAUCUGGCUGACACUUGGCCGGAUUUCUGGCCGGAUUGUGGUCAGAAAAGGCUGCUCUUUACACGGACAACUUGAUUUCACCUCCAAUAAGUCACAUGUAAUGCUAGACAUGUAACAAACUCUUCGCAGCUGUAAAAGGGAGGUGUAAACCUCAUUCCUUGACCACUUUUUACCUUUAUAUAGCCAAAAACUUGCAAGAUUCAAGGAGAGACUUACGGAAGAAAUUUGGAGUCUACAGAAAUGUAGUUCUUACAUCUUCUGAGUGUUAGAUUAGUUUAGUAUAGAGUAGUAGUUCAUCCUUUUUGUUUAUUAGCUAGGCAAAGAUGAAGAAGGCAAGGAAAGAGCUCAUGUGACAAGGGUUAUUUUUCCUUUCCAAUAAUUUCAAGUUUAGUUAAUAUACAAGUUAUGAAUUUAUACGUUAUUAUUUGUUUCUAAAGUUUAUGCCUUGGGUUUGAUUGAACUUUCUAUAAUUGUUAGUGUUCAUCAUUUGGUUAUUUGAAGCUAUUAUUUGAGUAAGUUAUUUAGCACUUUAGCUCUUUGAAUCAUGAUUAAUUUGGUACCAUUAAUUGUGAUUAUCUAAAGUGUUGUUUCCGCAAUAAAAAUUGAGAUUUACCACUGGUUCAAGAAGUGCUAAACAUAGGGAGUACACUCACGACAGUAGAGGUGCACCUAUGUGGUUUUAGUGAUUUAUUUCAUGUAAUUUCAUUUAAGAAAUGAACUUGUAGCUAAUUUCAUAACCAUGAGAAUAUGUAUAGAUUAGUUAUGAGUAUAAUUGAUUCACUACGAAAGUAGGAUUCAUAUGCAUAAGGAAAUUACACCAUAACUAGCCUAGAUAGUAGUACUCAAUGAUCCAAUUAUAGCACUUGCAUGAGUAGUUAGGAUACCAUAACCUAAGGAGCUUUCAUUUGUUAUUUUCUUGUAUAAGUUCAGUAGGUUUUACUUGUUAUAAAUUCAUUGAUAGUCUAAAUAAUAGAGAAGCUUUAGUAGUGCCGGUAAUUGUUCAAUUUUUCUCGUGGGAUCGACCCAAUAUAUACCCUAAACUACUAGUUGACCUGUAUACUUGCAGUGAAACGGAUGUAUUUCGGAUUUUUUAACUUGUAUGUAUAUCAAAAACCCCGUCAGCCGGUUGGAUCUCAUUGAGGGUUUUAAGAAGAAGGUUGAGCAAGAUUAUUAUAUUUAUAGUUUUAGUCCGUUAGGAUUUAUUGAAACUUUUGUGAGUUUUGACCCGUUGGGACCAGUUGAGCAUUUUGCAUCCUGAUUUGUUGAUAGGUUGUUGGGCCCGUUGGGACUUUUGAGGUUUAUUGGGAUCCGUUGGUACUUGUAUGGAGAAGAUAAAUUUUGUUUGUUAUUUGUCUGUUAUUUAUCGAUGUUGGAUAUGCACUAAGGUGAAAAUUUGUUGAAUUUAUCUUUGUAUCCCACAUCGGAAGUUCUCAAAAAAAAAUGUCCCUCCUCUUGAUAAUUAUAAAUAUAGUGGAUUUAAAUGAAUUUAAAUGUACUAAGGGCAUCAAUCCAAGUGCCAUAGACACGAACCAGGGAGAAUCUUAAGGGGUCCACGCCCCAAUUUGAAAGGAGUUUUGGUUAGACAUCAAAAUAAAAAAGCUAAGUUAGUAUGCCUUUGGGCUGUUAAAUAUUUUGCAUUAUUUAGACUCUUUUAUAUUUUCAAUUUUAGGUGCUUUUGAGUUUUAGAAUUAUUUCUUAGGGUUUUCAACUUUCUCUUUUAGAUUAUCUUUCUGCUAUAGUAAAUCCGCUAUCCUUUCGCCUGUGGACGUAGGUCAAUUCGAUUGAAUCAUGUAGAAUUCUAUAUCUUUCUGUUUAUUUUAUUUGCUUUGUUAUUAUCUUUAUUGGAUUGCCAAGAAACCUAUUAUUUUCGUUGGUUAAUUCCUUGGGAUCAGACUUCACACAUUUUAGUGUCUUGAACUUUAGUAAGAUAUUGUAGGCCUAAAUCUAACAUCAACAGCUCCUUUGGUGUCUCUGUGAAAGAGAAAUACCAAGUGCAAAGCCCGUGCUUUCAAACUAUUUUACACAAAAAUUCGGAAAUAUUACGAUGCCUAAAACAAAAAUUAUAUUUCAGAUUACAUCAUUACACUAUCUUGUACGUAUCUUGUACAACGCGUACAAGAUUGCUGCACUUGAGAAGCGAUUGCCAAUUUGUUUGUAUGUUGUAAUGUUAUACAUGAAGUGUUCGAGUGAUAUAAUGAAUUUAAUGUAUUAUCUUGAUUUGGAGAAUGAUGAAUUUAGACUGGUCGUUAUUCAAUUUGAUGAUCGAGGACAAAAUAUUGCUUGCAAUAAGGUUAUGAAAUUUGAUGGAACUUCUUGGCCUAUCAGGCUUGACAUGCCAUGGGCUGUUAACCUCCAGUCUUUCUUUUUGAUGCAUUUAAGGAUGUUAAAUUUGGGCUAUGGAAAUGGCUACACCGGAUUUCCAUCCGCCUGCAAUUCCUAAGAGAGAGUUUUGGCCAGUCUUUUUUUGAAUUUCAACUGCAAGUGGUAGGCAGUCAGCGAAAUGAAUAUGACAGACAUUGAAGUGUGGUUAGAGCAUUUGGUACAAGUCACGGGAGCCUUAGAUUUUUACCAGAAUUACCUUCUUGCCAUUUUGUUCUACUAAUUACACUUUGGACAAAUUCCACUUUACCCCUUGUAGUUUAGCAUUUUUUACAUAACCGCCCUAUGGUUUCAAAAGCAAUACAUAACCCCCUUAUGGUUUGAAUUAAAGUGUCAAAGUGACGAAAAUGAUCAUUCAUAACGAUGUCACCUAAAAUGUCAAAAUUACCCUUAUGUAAAGUUGAAAUUUAUGUAUUAACCAAGGGGGGUUAUGUGUAUAUUUUAAAAAUCAUAAGGGGGCUAUAUGGUAAAAUAUUAAACCAUAAGGGGGUUAUAUGAUAAAAUAUAAAAAUCAUACGGGGUUAAUGUGUCAUGUAUUUAUAAGGGUAAUUUUGAUAUUUUUAGAAGUUCCGUCACGGGUGACUAUUUCCGUUACUUUAACACUUUAAUCCAAACCAUGAAGGGGUUAUGUAUAGCUUUUGAAACCAUAGGGGGGUUAUAUAAAAAAAGGGUAAACCACAGAGGGGUAAAAUGUAAUUUACCCUUACACGGUUGAUGUCGAAGGUGGGGGUUAAUAAACACUUAGGGUGCAUUGAAUAAAGGUGAAGUUUGAAAAUUGAAAUCUAAAAUAUGAAUUCAUUAAAUUAUUGAAUUGUUAAAUACUAAAUCCAAUACAUUUGAAUGUAUAUGAAUAAAUAGAUUAUCACUUAUUUUUUAAAGUAAAUUUUGCCUAGAAAAUUUAAUGUCAUUUAAUUAUUUUAGAUGCUCUAUUUUUUGUUAUCAAAUACGUUUAAAUAUGUUAAAAUCUGAAAUAUUAAAUUUAAGUGUUAAAUUAAGUUAUCAAAUAGGGCCUUACUUUGGGUAGUGAGAAAUUUGAAAAUUUCUUGUAUUUUUCAAAUCGGUUAAAAAAUUUUCAGAUUUAUUUAAAAAUUUUCAAAUCUAUUGUAUUUGUUAAAUUGCAGAUCUGAUCUGUUAUUUCUAGUGGAUGUUUAGCUUGCCAUUAAAGUAGUGAUGUAAAUUAAAUCGUGUUAAACGAUUUUGCAACAAUUAGUUCAUGAAAUUUACUUUUUAUAAAAAAAAAAUAAAAGUUUAAGUUUGGGAUGUGGAAGUGGCUACACGUAAUUUCCCUCGGUCCUGCAUUUCAUGAGCUUAGAGUGCUCAUGUCUUGGGUAGUGUAGCCUUAUGUCGUCAUAAUGAUGAAACAAAUUGUUGAUAGUGAUAGUGGUUAAAAUGUGUUUGGAGAGGACAUUAUUUUUUUUUAAAAAUUAUUUCAAAUAAUAGUGUACCAUUUUUUUAUAGUAUGAUAUAUGUGAGAUCAUAAAAUAAUUAGGACUAUAAAAAAAUUGAUUGAAAAACAUGUUUAUAAUGAUUAAAAGAAUAAUUUGAAAAAAAAAAGGAUAUUCAAACACAUUGUCGUAUAUAAUGUUUUGAAAAAGUUUGAAUGUUAAUAUUUUGGAGCACAAGUAUUGCACGUUCAUGUGUGUUACUUUACUUGGUAAUCAUUUAAAUGUUUUCUUAAAUAACGUCUAUAAUGUUAGAAUUCGAUUAUGACAGGCCUCCAUUUUGCUAGAUUUCAUUUCGGACUCAGAGGCUUCUCCAAAUUUAUUGCCCUAGUUCUUUAAUGUAGAAUACCAUCUUUUUCUUUUUCAUGCAGUAGGACAUGUAAAGAUCUUUUUUUUAAGUAAAUCGUGUAAAAUGUCACCAAAUUGUAUAUUUGUGCUUGUUCAGAUCACUAAAUUGAAUCAAAAUGUGUUAGCCAAAGACGUCACUAAACUAAUCAAAAUGCAUGUUUUAUAGCAUUUCGUGUAAUUGAAUCAUUAAAACAAACAGAAUUCCUUUAUCUCCACUUGCGGACUUGAUUUUGGAGAGGUAUAAUCCUCGAUUCACCUCUUUGACUAACUUUUGUCUAUAGCAAAUACUUGGAUAGACCUGAUCUAUAAGUGGGUGACCCAGAAUAUGCCAUGUCAUCAAUGCGAAUUUAAUACUUAAAAACCAAAAAUCUUCCCGUCUCUCUACUCACCAUCCUGAUCGACAACACCACUGACUGAAUCAAGGAGCUCUCCUCUCAAGGCUUCUGGUGUCCCUCCUGUGCUUUCCAUUUUUACUCUUAAUGGUAAACAUCCCAACCGAGUAGAAUACUAAUAUACAAAGGUCCAAUUACUCUUCUUUUUUUUCGUCUUUAUAACAUCAACAAAUUUUGCCUUCGAAUCAGGCUUACAUAUGCAAAGCUAAGCCAUUCAAAGUUGGAAUUCAUUCUCAAAAUCAUGUGAGAAAGGAGACAGAAUGAAAAAAGUAUAAAAAAAAAAGAACUUGGGGCAGAAAAUUUUGGGAGAAGAGAGGAAGAAAAUCCAUCAAUCACAUCUUUCAUUUGAUUUCUAGGUCUACUUAAAAAAAAUUAUAAGUCUUGCAUUUUUGGAGGACAUGAGAAAAUAUAUAGUAAGUGAUGGGAUCUUACGUUGGAGAAAAAGAAGCCAAAAUAAGUGGAGAUAUAGUCUUUAUUUGAAAUAGAGAGGAAGGGGGAGGAGUAUCUUCUAAUGGAGGGGGCGAGGAGUUCAUGGGUUAUUGGAGUAGUAGGAGGUGUCGAGUGGAAGGAACGGAGCGGUGAAGAUAGGUUAGAGGGAGAAGGCAAAGGAUAGUGUUUAUAAUGGUGGUGGUGAUAAUUGGGGCAUUAAGCAGAGCAAUAGAGGUGGAGUGGAAAGCUUGAGGAUCCAAUAGUUGUAGAUAAAUUUUAGGAGAAGAGUGAAUAACCAAGAAGUUUAGCUACUGUGGCAUGGCCAUUGUGGCUUCUUUAGCUUGCUUAAAAUUUUUGGACCAUUUGACCCUUCAAACCCUACGCCUGUAGAUCACGUGACGUCCAUUCCGUUUGUCUUCACGAUGAAAUUACAUGGAAAGCUACAAAACAUGCAAUUUGAUUAGUUCAGUGACAUUUUUUGUUAAUAAAAUAGUUUAAUGACCUGAACAAGCACUGGUGAAUAGUUUAGUGACAUUUUUCGCGAUUUGCUCUAGUUAAAAUCAUAUUCAUGUAUUGUAGCAUGUGCGUCACACAUUGGCAUGUUACUUUCGUGAUUUUUUUAAAUGGCAUUUUCUUAAGAGCAAAUGAUGUUGUAUAUCACUAAACUAAUCACUUGUACUACUUUUGGUCACUAAAUUAAUUUGUUAGCCAAACACGUCAUUAAAUUAAUUAAAUUGUAACUUCUAGGUCAUUCUGUUUAAUUUUGCCGUUAAGGGAGAUGGAACCAAUGUCACAUCAUAGGUACGAGCUUGCACAUAGGGGCAAAAAUGUCCACAAAAUUUAUGGGGGACAAUGUAAAUAGAAAUAAAUAUGUUUUCAGGGUCAAAAUAGAUACAUCAUAAAAUUGGGGACUUUAACAAAAUUAUGUUUUAGUCCCAAAGUAUGUAUAAUUUUUAGAAAAAGGACUAGAUGAUCACAGAACGUCUAUUAUCUAUCAUUUUUACUUCCUCCAUCAUUAUCAUUAUCACUUUUUAUCAUUUCUCCAUAUACCAAAAUCCUAAAUCUAUGAAUAAAUAUUCCUAUUUUUAUUCAAAAACCAAAUUCCAAUUUCCAAAUCCUAUCUUGUCUGGAUCUUGAAGUUUGAGUGUCAAACAAACCUAAGAAAUUCUAAGGCCUGAAAAACUUUCCAUAGAAAUCCUUGAACAACAUCAAAGAGCCACAUCCCUUUGAGGCUCAAUUUAAACCAAUAUAACAGAAGCGAGCAGAAUAUACACAGAAAAUGAUGAAGAAUUAAAAUUCCAGCAAGAGCUUCAAUCACAAAAGUCAAGAGGCAGAAUAAAACUUGCUCUUUGUGAGUCCUUAUUCAGUCCCACUGUAUGAGCUCCAAAUGGAACCAUCCAAGAACCUACAAGCCAAAUGAGACAACCCAGAGCGAUGUAACCUGUAGGAUUACAUAACAGUAGAGUGAUCCAGCUGGUGGUUGUGUCAUGGCCUAAAGCUCUAGGAACUCAAGAGAAUUGGUAGUUGAUGAUUGAAUGGGGAUUGUUGUUAAAGACAAUCAAAUAGAAUAGGAAAUAGAAUAUUUGUAUAUGAAUUUGAUUAGUUAGUUGCCAUCUUAGUGAAACUCAAAGGCUAAUUUAGAGGCAUUAGAAUAUGAUCUAAUUGGUAUUGUAUCGUGUAUAAAGUUGUAUCUUUUGGCCUUGGAUGAUUUGAAGAACAAAUCCUUUCACCAAAAUAUCUUCUUAUUAUGGUACUAGAGCACUGAAUCUAGGAAUCUGAAAACUUCUGCUCAUUCCAAUAUUAAUCAUGGGAGACACAAACAAGCCAACUCAAUUGAGCAUGGCAUCCAAGUUUGACAAUCCCAACCAUCCUUGGUAUCUUCACCAUUCAGAUCAACCUGGAUUGGUUCUUGUAUCACAAGUUCUCACUGAAGAAAACUAUAGCAUAUGGAAUCACUCCAUGACUAUGGCCUUGACGGUCAAAAACAAAUAUGGCUUUUUUGAUGAAUCAAUUUUACAACCAAACGAAGAUGCAGAAGACAAUUUGCAGCAGUGGAUUCGUUGCAACAAUCUCGUCAAGACCUGGGUAUUAGGUUCACUUUCCAAGGAAGUUGUAGCAAGUGUUUUCUAUUGUGAAGGAGCAAAGGCAAUUUGGGAUAAACUCUAUGAACGUUUCUCUCAAGUAAACGGUGUCCAAUUUCUUCACAUUGAAAAUGAGAUACAUGAUUGUAUUCAAGGAACCAUGUCUGUUAGUUCCUACUUUACCAGACUCAAAGGAUUAUGGGAUGAAAGAGAUGCCCUUUUUCUUAUUGCAGCUUGCCAAUGUGGAACUAUGAAGGAAGAGCUAUCCUAUUGAGAAACACAGAAAACCAUCAAGUUUCUCAUGGGAUUGACUGAAUCCUUUGAAAUAAUAUAGGUAUAAAUAUUGACAAUGGAUCCCUUUCCAAAGGUCAGUAAGGUUUAUUCCCUUGUGCUUAGACAUGAACGACAAUGAGAUGUGUCUUCAGGAAAGAAUGCAGUUCAGCCUGAGGCAGCAACAUUUGCAAUCAAGGAUCCAAACAAGAAGGACAACAAUCACAAGUGUGAAAAAUGUGAAAAAGAUGGACUAAGCACAGACAACUGUCAGGCACAUUUGAAGUGCUCUUAUUGCGGAUGGAAGGGCCACACAAUUGAUCUUUGUCAAAAAUUCAAGAAGGAUCAAUCAUUCCGAAUGACUAUAGCAAAGCAAGGUAAUCAAUUUGGUACUUCACACCAGUUGAAAAAACUGACAUACCCAACUCAUUGCCUUUUACUCAAGAACAGUGCAAACAAAUCCUACAAAUGUUUAAGAAUAAUAGUCUUCCAUGGCAAAUCAAGUUGGUAAUUCUUCAGUUCAUGAUGAACUUUCAGGUAAAGUUCUUUGUUUUUCAUCUCAAGGCAAGAAAACCACAUGGAUCCUUGAUAGUGGAGCAACUGAUCAUAUCAUUUGCAACCCUGAAUUGCUUACCACUUCAAAAAAUUAUUAAAAAAAAGACAAUGAAACUGCCAGAUGGAUCUAUUGCUGAUAUUACACAUGUUGGUCGAGUUGUCUUCUCAUCUAAUUUGGUUCUUGAUGAUGUUUUAUGUGUCCCAAAUUUUCAAUUAAAUCUCAUCUCCAUAACACGGCUUGCCCGCUACUUCUUUUGUACCAUCACAUUUCUUACUCAUUUUUGUGUGAUACAUGACCUACGCUCUGGGAAGAUGAUUGGGACGGGAACUGGACAAAGAGGACUCUACUAUCUGGAUGAAGUACAGAAAUCCUCGUGUAAUUUGGUCAUUCCCUCUUUCUCCAUUAUUUGGCAUCAACGCCUUGGACACCCUUCAAAUAAAGUGUCUAUUUUAUUUCCUAGUUUGGCUAAUAAGUUUUGCUAUACACAUGACUGUUCGGUAUGCCCCUUAGCAAAACAGACCAAAUUUCCUUUUCUCUUGAGUAAAGUUUCUAGUCAAACACCUUUUGAGAAAUUGCAUGUUGACAUUUGGGGUGGAUACCACGUUGCAUCUGUUUAUGGAGCUCGAUAUUUUCUCACCAUCAUUGAUGACUUUAUUAGGUGCACUUGGGUUUACUUGAUGCGUUAUAAAUCUAAAGCUGAAACCCAGCUAAUCAAUUUCAUUAAUAUGGUUGAAACUCAAUUUUCUUGCAACGUUAAGGUUGUGCGUAAUGACAAUGGCCAUUAGUUCACACUCAAAGACUAUUAUAUGUCCAAAGGAAUCAUCCAUCACACUAGUUGUGUUGAUACUCCGCAAACAUAGACAUUUGGUAACUAUGACAUGAGUUUUACUUUUUCAAACCCAUCUUCCUAAAACCUUCUAGAGAGAUGCCAUUCUGACUUCUGCAUGCCUUAUAAAUGCAUGCCGACGCCCAUUUUGCAAGGAAAAACACCUUAUGUGCGGUUUUUUCAUUCAACACCCAAUUACUCACAUUUAAUAGUAUUUGGAUAUUUAUAUUUCACCUCCACUCAUGUCCAAAGGAUCUAAAUUUGAUAAAUGUGCAACCCGGUGUAUUUUUCUUGGUUAUCCUUAUGACAAAAAAAGAAUAUCAAGUAUAUGAUCUUGAGUUCCACAAAGUUUUUGUGUUUCGUGAUGUUACCUUCUUUGAACAAGAAUUUCCCUUCAAAAAUACUUCUACUACCAUUGAGUAAUCUGUUACAUCCACUCAUGAUAAAUUCAUUUUCUAUGAUGAUCCUAUCAUAUUACAAAACUCCAUCAAAACACGUAAACCUGCUCUACCAGAUCAUGACGACCCUAAGAAUGUUGUCAACAAUUCUCAUCAUAUUAUUCUAACUAUUUCCACACCUACCCCUGUACAUCGCCACUCCACAAGACCAAUCAAACGUCUUUCCUUUCUUCAGAAUUAUCAUGUAGAAGCAGUCCUCUCAUCUCGGCCUGACCCCUCAUCAACCUCUAGCAUGGUCACCACUUCAGGUAUGCCAUACAAUCUUUCUCAAGUAUUUUCAUAUGACCAAUUAUCUGUCUCUCAUAAAAUUUUCACUACUGCUUUAACCAUUGCAAAAGAACCAACUAGUUUUUACAGGCCCUGAAAGAUCCUCUGUGGCACAUAGCGAUGCGCAAUGAAAUCGAUCCCCUCCAAGCAAAAAAUACAUUGACACUUAUGCCUCUCCUACCUAACAAGAAACCAAUAGGAUGUAAAUGAGUGUACAAAGUGAAGCUCAAAUCCGAUGGAACCAUAGAGCAUUACAAGGCUCGCUUGGUUGCCAAAGAAUACAAUCAGAUUGAAGGACUUGACUAUUGAGAGACUUUUGCCCCGGUUGCUAAGCUAGUUACUGUGCGUGUCCUACUUAGUGUUGCUCCAAUUCAAGGAUGACAUCUCCACCAACUUGAUGUCAACAAUGCCUUUUUGCAUGGCGAUCUUGAUGAAGAUAUAUAUAUGUCCCUACCACCAAGAUUCGGACAAAAGGGGGAGACUCGAGUAUGCAAACUUAGCAAGUCACUCUAUGACUGGAAAUAAGUUUCUCGACAAUGGUUUCUAAAAUUAUCUUCAACUCUUAAGAUUGCUGGUUUUCAGCAAUCAAAGGCAGAUUAUUCAUUAUUCAUCAGAUUCUCACAAAGGUAGUUUCACAACAAUUCUUGUAUAUGUUGAUGAUGUGAUCUUAGUAGGCAGAUAUGCAACAUAUUCAAGACUCAAAGGAAUUUUUAUCCAAAUAAUUCAAACUAAAGGACCUUUGUCAACUCAAAUAUUUCUUGGGAAUAAAGGUGGCAAGGUUUUCGGAAGGUAUUUCUCUCUCUCAAAGAAAAUGUGCAUUAGAGAUAUUAGAAGAUGUUGGAUUUCUAGGAGCUAAACCAACAAGGUUUCCCACGGAACAAAACUUCGCUCUUACACAAUCUGAUUGAGAUCUUCUGAAUGACCCUUUAAUGUAUAGGCAUCUUGUAGGGAGGUUGAUUUAUUUGACCAUCACUAGACCAGAUUUGGUCUAUUCAGUUCAUGUUUUAAGUCAGUUUAUGGACAAACCAUGUGUGCCACAUCUUGAAGCAGCACAUAGAGUUCUUAGGUACAUAAAGCAAAUACCAGGACAAGAGAUUUUAUUACCCUCUAAGGCACACUUCAAUUAAAGGCCUUUUGUGAUGCAGAUUGGGCACAUUGCAAAGAUACAAGAAGGUCUAUAACAGGGUACUGCAUAUUUCUUGGACAAUCACCCAUUUCUUGGAAGACAAAGAAGCAAACUAUGGUGACUCGAUCAACUACAGAACCAGAAUAUUGUUCUAUGGCCACUACUUGUUGCGAAGUUACUUGGUUGAAGAAUGUCUUAAAAGACUUAGGAAUCAAACAUCCCCAACCAAUUAUGUUGUUUUAUGAUAAUCAAGCUGCUUUACACAUUGCCUCGAAUCCGAUCUUUCAUGAACGAACGAAGCACAUCGAAAUUGACUGUCACUUAGUUCGUGAGAAAAUUCAAGAAGGCUUGAUUAAAACAGCACAUGUAAGGACCAAUGAUCAAACUACUAACUUAUUCACCAAGGCGAUGAGUACACUGCAAUUAGAGACAUUACUUAGCAAGUUGGGUGUUAUUAACAUACACUCCAACUUGAGGGGGAGUAUUAAAGACAAUCAAAUAGAAUAGGAAAUAGAAUAUUUUGUAUAUUAAUUUGAUUAGUUAGUUGCCAUCCUAGUAAAAGUCAAAGAUUAAUUUAUAGGCAUUAGAAUAGGAUCUAAUUGGUAUUGUAUCGUGUAUAAAGUUGCACCUUUUGUUCUUGGAUGAUUUGAAGAACAAGUCCUUUCACCAAAAUAUCUUCUUAUUAGUUGUCAAUGGAGUGCUUGAUGUAAUAGUUGCAGUAGUAGCUGAAGAUCGGGAAGGAGUUGAAGGGGCAACUGAUCUAGGAAAGUGGUUGUAGGCUUGUGAAUUGCAUUUAGACAAUUUUGUCCUUGAAAAAUGUAUGCUUGCAAGUGAUGUGAGGUUGAUUUCAUCUCCCUUGAUGGUAGAAUAAGACGGAAGGACCUAAAAGUUACAAUUUGGUUAAUUCAGUGAUAUUUUUGGCUAAUAAUUUAGUUUAGUGACCAAAAAUGGUACAAGUCGAUAUUUUAGUGAUAUUUGGAGCAAUUUGCUCUUUUCUUAAAUAGAUUUGGACUUAGAGUUUUCUCCACAUUUACUACCAAAUAUGUUAUAUGUAGAUUACUUUCAUUUUUUCCCUGAGGAGCAAAAGAUGUGAAGAACAUUAUGUGCAAGUAAAUUUUGUUUUUUCUACACAUUGAAUAUUUAAUAGCCAUAUAUUAUGGCACUUUGUUUCCAUUCAUGCUUAGUUUCAACAUGAAAUCCUUGAACAAUUUUCAAAAUUAACUUGUUCGAGAAUAAAAAAUUUAUAUCUAAAUAAGAAACAAAUCAAUUCUUUUAAAGGAAAUUUAUGCCAACAAAAUUUCAAUGGUAAACUACAACAUCAAGCUCAAUAUGACAUAAAUUAAUUUCAAAAAAUUAUGUGUGCAUCCAUGUUUCAGAGCACGAUAGUUGCACAUUGGCAUAUUACAUUUUAUGGUAAUUAUUGGAUAUGUUAUUUUUCUAAAAUGUCAAUAUGGACAAUGCUAGAAUUCAUUCACUAAUUUACAUUUUGUUGAAAUUUAUUUCCAGUUGGGGUUUUCUCCACAUUUAACGCCCUAUUGUCUAAUGUAGAAUUUCUUACUAUUUUCCCAUGGAAUAGAAAAUGUCAAGAUCAUUUUCCAAGGUAAAUUUUUUCUCCUACUCAUGUUGAUUGUUGAUUGCUAAGGAGCUUUAUUUUUCAUCUAUGUUUAAUCCAAAAUAAAGUCCCCUAUUAUGAUGUGGAACAUAAGUACAUUUUUAGGAGGGUAAAAUAUACAAAAUCUACUUAUGGUGUCGCCAAAAUUUAACAAGAUGCCAUAUGGUUUUGAAAUAUUCACAUAACCCUCUUAUACUUUAAACUAAUAUGGAAUUUCACAUGUAACUAUGUGGCUUGCAAGUGGUCUAUUAUUUUUUUAAUAUUUUUUCUUUUGUUUUCAAAUUUUUCUUUUAUUUUUGGUGCUCAAAUUCUUUUCGUGUAACUAUCAGGGUGGUUUUAGAAAUUUUAAAACUUUUGAGACACUUGUAAAAUUUUAAAACUUAUUUAUCAUCCCCCUUCCUCUUUCCCCUAUUUUUCCCCUUCACCCUAGCCACUCAUCACCCGCCGCCACCCUCUUCUCUUCUCUCCCCCCCUUCCAUUCACCCCUCUCUCCUCAUUUUCCUGUCCCAAACCUAGUCACUAAGAUUUUAAACCCUAAUUGGAUUCUUAAACUACUGCAAUAAAGUUAAAAUCCAUUAAAAAAAAAAACAAAAGAGUGACAAAUCCCUCAACUAGUUAGGAUUGUCAACUGAUAUCUACUCACCAUCACAUAGUAGUUACUACUCUUCACACACAUUACAUAUAGCAUAAUAAGAGUCCUUGAUGAAUCAAUUUGCUACUUAGAAAUCAACCAUAGAAGGUGGAAAUGAUGGUGGUGGAACAAGAAUUGUACCAAAAUCAGUCAUGGAGGUAGUCUAGAGAACCUCAAUCAACAUUGAGGAAGUUGGGAUCUUUUCUGAUGAUUUCCUACCCCUUUGUGAUAAUAAUGUCCUAUCCCAGAUUAACCUUCUUCAAAGGGCUCAGUCCCUUCUCUUGCUUGCCAAAAUUACCAUGACCUUUUUCAUUUGUAUGUUUAAACUAGCCAAAAAAUGGUUUCUUUUGUUUUUUGUUUUGUGGAUUUUGUUUAAUUGAAUUAUUGAAUCUGAAUUUGAUGUAAAAUUUUUGGUGGUUUUGUAGUGAAGUUGAGAUGCAAUGAAGUGAACCUAGAUGAACAUGCUGUCAAGUCAGAGCGUGUAUUAUUCUAUUCUUCUUCAAUUAUUGUUUAAUUUUUGGACAGGGAAAGGGGGGAGAGGAGUGGAGGAGAAAAGAGGAGGAGGGAGAGGAAAAGAGGAAGAGAAAGAAAGGAAAAGUGGGGAGUGGGGAGAGAAGAGAAUGGAGUGGUAGAGGGUAGCAAACGGUGGUGGUAAGAGAAAGAGGGAGAUGGUGGUGGUUAGCAACCAUGGUACCUGAUUAAAUUUCCUAGUAAUGCACUUAUUACAAUACCAUUAUGAACUUCAUUAUAUGCUUUGUUGUGAUUGGUAUUUUGAAGCCUAGUAUGACAAGACCAUGUUCUAAAUAUAUGCCUACCAUGCACAAUCAACACCGUAAGCAAAAAAAAAUAAUAAUAAUAACUUAGAGCGCUACCAUGCACAAUCAGUACGGCAACAUCUUGAAAGGGGUGGGUCAGCACAGCAGUAGAUAUCAAACUACGAAACUCGGGCCCGAACAAUUAUCAAGAAAAUCGUUCGAGCCAGUUUGUGCAAAAUACACAAGAUGUAAUUUGGUACGCAUACGGUAUAAUUCACUUUCAACAACGUACAACUAUGGAACAAAAUUUCGUAGACCCCACACAUGGUGUAAAAAAUGAUGUACAAGAUGUAAUCUGAAACUUUUUUUUUUUUUUGGAAAAAUCGUUCAAAACGUCCUUCACAUUUUACAAGAUAACUUUUUUCGUCCCUCACUCUUAAAAGUAUAAUUUUACGUCCCUUACAAAUUCACAUUGACCCAAUUUGGUCCCUACCUAGGUUUCUCACUAGUUUUUUGCCAGAAUCUACCGCGUGACUUACAUGUGAUUAUUUUUUAAGGGCAAAAUUAUCAAAUCAAAUUUUUAUAUAAUCUAAUUCAUAGUCCCUCACAUUUCACAAAAUAAAUUUUUUCGUCCCUAACAUUUUACAAAAUGAAUUGUUUCGUUCCUCAUAUUUUAAAAAAUGAUUUUUUCCAUCCCUCAUUAAUCAUGUGUGUGAAUAGUUUUUUUUCUAUAAACCCACGUAUAUGUCUAUUUGAUUUUACCUGAACAGUACGAAUAACAUGUAAUUUAUCUCUAUUGGAUUUCAUCUAAACAUGCUAAUCAUAAUUAUACACAUACUAUUCAAUAGAUAUAUAUAGAGGUUUAAAACUAAUAAUUUUGUUUGAAACUCAUGUAUAUAUUUAUAUGAUUUCACCAUUUGAACCUAUUCAAUAUUUGUGACAUUUCUCUUUUGGUAAUAAUUUAUUUAUUGAAUUGUAUAAUAAAAUCAUCUAAUUAAUAGCUCCUAGCUCAAAUUCUAUAAUUGUGCUAACAAAUUUCAGUUUAAAUAUGAAAUUUCUACUCGAUACUUUUAAUACCAACAGUUGAAUUACUUGCCUUGUCAUUGUCUUAAAAUUUGAAAAUGCCAAUCAUUUAUUUCUUUUUGUCAUACUUUUCUUUUGUUUAUUUUUUCUAUCCAAAUUUAAUUCGAUAUAAACACUCGAUAAUAUUUAGAAUUAACUGUCUUCUUUAUUUUCAAAUUUCGAGUAAAAGAAAAUGAAUAUAAGUGAAAAACUAACAAUUUUUUAAAAUCCAUGUAUAUAUAUAUAUUUGAUUUCACUUGAGCAGUACAAAUAGUAUGUAAUAUAUUUCUAUUUGAUUUCACAUGCUACUCGUACUGUUCAGGUGAAAUAAAAUAGAUAUAUACAUGGAUUUAAAAAAAAUUUAUUACACACAUGAUCAAUAAAAGAUGAAAAAAUUCAUUUUGAAAAAUGUGAAGUAUGAAAAAAUUCAUUUUGUGAAAUGUAAGGGAUGAAAAAAUUUAUUUUAUAAAAUGUGAAGAAUUAUGAAUCGAAUUAUAUAAAAUUUGAUUUGACAAUUUUACCCUUAAAAUAUGAUCACGUGCAAGGCAGAUGGUGAAUUCCGACCAAAAAUUAGUCGGAAACCUAAAUAGGGACCAAAUUUGAUCAAUGUAAAUUUGUAAGGGACGUAAAAUUACAUUUUUAAAAGUGAGGAAUGAAAAAAGUUAUUUUGCAAAAUGUGAAGCACGUUUUGAACGAUUUUUCCUUUUUUUUUUUUUAUGCCAAAUCUUGGCCAAAAACCUUCAGGAAUGGUUGCUUCCAACAACCGUUCCUAACCCCUCCUCCUUUGACUACUAAUCUGAGAUGUCAUUUCGUACCAUUUUGGAGACUUCUAUCAAUUGAUGUCGUUCGAAUUGCUAUGUCCAUUUUAUGACUCAUAAAAAAUCUCUAAUCUAUCUUUCUCAUAUUUUAACGUGAAGCAUAUUGCCUGAUGUGCUCUGGAAAACCACUAUUUAUCACAUUUGACUUUAAAAAUAAAUUAUCGGCACCAAAAAUAGAAGCUCUAGAAUAGACUAGAAUUGGUCCCAGUAGUUAACAUUGUAAAUUUCUCAAGAUUUUAGUAUGACUUUUUUUGCUUUUGGGUAAAAUACUAUGACCUUAAUUGAUUAUCCCUUCAUUCCAUUUCUCUCAGAUUAGUAGUUUGAUAUCAAGAAAUAAAUACAAAAUAAAUCAACCCCCUAUGAUGAAUAUAAUUGGAUGGAACGAAGACCAAUUCCAAUCUCCCUAGGAAAAGCUAAAAGGGGAAAAGAAAAAGAAAAUUAUUGUUUUUUGACAAAUUUCCACCAAUAAUGCUCAUUUCAAAAAAAUAUCACAUUUUUGGUGUUUUGUUGGAACCGCUUACCCACAUAGGGUCGCUGCAUGUCUGAAAUGCAGCAACCAUGAAAUAUUAUUUUCUUUUUCAUUUUUUUAUGUGUCAAAACAUUGUAGAAAAAAAAUUUUACUAGGAAUCCAUUAGAUCAAUUCACAACUUUUUUUUAAAAAACUUUUUCACUUUCACAUGUAAUUUGUUGUUAAGUCACUUGCUAUUGGGGACUUAAUAUCAACUCGAUGUCUAUGAGCACAAAUAGGAUCAUACUAUAGACAUGGAUUAAUGAAUAGUAUUUAUUUUUUAUAUUUAUGGAUAUUAUUUAUAAGACUUUAAUAAUUAAUGUCUAAUUAUAACUGUCCAAUUAUAGUGACCAAUUUUGUUUAGCAAUUGUUUUUUCCAUGUGAACCUCUGCUUCAUUUGUCAACAAAGAAACAUAAAGGGAAGGAAUAUGAAGGCAAAUUCAAAUUUAUAUUCUCCCAAGCACCAUUUAUAAAUAUGGUCUUCCAUUGUUCCUGUCCAAAGUCAAUUCAUGCCAAAAUUGCCAAUACAGAAUACAUUCCAUGGAAAUGUCCAACCCCAUUUGGCUUGGAUUAUUCCUACGCCAUUAUAUUAUCAAAGGGUAAAAUACACAAAACCCUUUUGUAGUAUCGACGAAAGGCAUCCGUUGUAGUAUCGACAAAAGGCACAAAACCUCCUUAUUGUUUAAAAACCCCUACAUAACCACCUCAUACUUUUAACUACCUCGUACUUUUAACUAAAGUUGAAUUUGACCUUUAACUGGUUUGUGACAUGAGACUUUGGGAGAUUUAAAAAAAAAAAAAAAAAGGUUAAUUGAGGGACAUCUUUCUUCAAGACUCAAAAUUAAUGGGUCAAAUUAAGAAUUUUAAAUGAAACAGUCAAUUGAGCAACUCCUUUCUUUAAGACUUAAAAUUAGUGGGAAAAAUUAAAAUUUUCAAAAAUUUUCAUCUUCUUCCCCGAUCGGGUAUACCUGCAUCACCUUCUUCCUUCUAUCCCCCUCCACUAUUACUACUUGCCACUCUCUUCUCUUUCCUCUUCCUCCUCCCCUGCCCUACCCUAUUCUCUCUUUCUCCUCUUUCCCAAUUCCCGGCCCUUCCUCUCUCUCCCCCACUCCAUCAUGAAUGAUUUAUUGAAAGGUUGGAGAAUGGGGAAGUUCCAAAAAAAAAAAAAAAAGAAACCUUGUGCACAACUUCAACAGAAAAUAAAAAAUGAGUGCAAUUGUUCUCUGCAUAAAGCACAAAUUUAAGUUCUCUAUAUUGUUCUUCUAUAGUUAAGGAUCUGGAGUGUUGCUUCUCGAUCUUUGCAUUAGUUGCAUGAAAAAACUCCAAAUAGGAGUACAAGAGAGUGAUAACAUCCAUGCAGUAUCCCAAUCAGAUAAUUUGUAUAAGGUGUAAUUUAACUUUUCAAGUUCAACAUAAGGAAGUCAAAAUUAUCUCUGGAACUAAAACCUUGUCAAAAGAUCUAUAAGGUUGAUGUUUCUCAUGUGACAUGAAAUUUCACCCAGCACCCCCCUUUCAUGAUCUGGACAAGCUUUUCUAGACCUUGUUUAUGAGAGUACCAUAGAUCCGUAACUCACUCAGAGACUGUGUCUAGUGAACUAAAAGAAGGAGCCCCCUCGUUCUUGUGACCAGAUUUGGUCGCCGAGGAGGAGUGGGAGAGAAAGGGUGGUCCCGGAAAUGGGAUGAGGGAGAGAGGAAGAAGGGUAUAAGAUGAGAGAGGAAGAAACUGAGGAAGAGGAGAAAGAUAAGAGAGAGUAGGGAGGGAAGAAGAUGUGAUGAUAGUGGCUAGUGGCUAGGAAGGAAGAGAGAGAUGGUGGCGGUAGUGGUAGUGAAGGAAGAGGGAGAUGGGGGCGGUGGUGACACUGGAGGAAGAAGAAGAGAAGACAAAAAAAAAAAGAAAAAAAGGAAAUUAAGGAAAGGUAAAUUAAAAAAAAAAAAAGAAGAAUAUGACGUGUUACCAAUAAUAUAACAGGUCAAAAAUCACCUUUCCAGAAAGUAUAAGAUGGUUAUAUGAGGGUUUUUAAAUAAUAAUGGAGUUUUGUGUUUUUGGUGAAAUCACAAGAGGGUACAUGUAUUUUACCCUAUUAUUAAAUAAUCCCCUCUCAGCCUAGCUAACAUGGUUCCUAUAACAAAGAAAUAUAUACAAGAAAAAGCAUCUACUGCCAUGCUGCUCGACAAGACAACACUUCAUAGUUUAAAAAGAAUUUCAAGAUGCUAUCGGGCACAAUCAGCAUGACAGCGCUCUAAGUUAUAAAUAAAUAAAUAUAUAUAUAUAUAUUUUUUACUUGCAAUGCACAAUUAGCACGGCGGGCAUAUAUUUAAAACAUGACUUUGUCAAUGUAGCAUUUGUUACUAUUACUAUUAUUAUUAUUUUAGUAAGCUUGCCAAAGCAAUUUGGUCCAGAAGCAAUUUCACUUUGCUUCCCUAUUUUGUACUCAACUCUCACUUUGACCCUAAACUUAAAUUUUAUAUACAUUAUACCCUAAAUCUCAUAUCCAUCUCAUUUGAAUCUAUCUCAUUUAAGAGCUCAUUUGAUAAAACUGAAGUUUAAAAUCUAAAUUCUUAAUUCUGAAAAUUAAGUAUUGAAAGUAUUAAAUUGCCAAAUGAUUUAAAUUAUAUCUGUUGAUAACUAAUUGGAUUAUAAUGUUGAAUUGAAAUAUUGUACAAAUAUUGUGUUUCUAUUUUUUUAAUUGUCUUUAUUUGUAUAUUUGGAGAAAAAAUGUGUGUGUGUGAGAGAGAGAAAGAAAAUAAAGAAACAAUUUAGAAGUGGUGUUUAAUUGUGUGUGUGUGUGUGUGUGUAUUUGUACGAAAGAGAGCGUGGGUGGAUGCGUAUGUGUCUAUGUGUGUGUCGAGUAUAAAGAAAAUAAACAUAUAUCAUGUGCCAAAACAAAUUAGAGUGUCUUAUGUAUGUGAGGGGUAUAGUAUGUGCAGUAAAUUCAUAUGGUUCAGUAAAAAUUUUUAUUUCAAAUUUUGUAUUAAAAUUUUAUACACAAAUUAAGCAAUGCUUAAUACAAUAAGUGGAAAGGCAUUCUGUUAUCAAACAUGCUAAAUUCAAAAAACUCUGAAUGGAUUAAUUUCAGCAUUAAAUGGAAUUAUCAAACAAACUCUAAGUCUAAUAUUUAAAACUGCCAAAUAAAAUUGACCAAUGAUAAUAGUGUAAAAUAAUUUUAAAAAAUGCCAAUUCAAAAUCAUACUUGCUGCCUUUUGAAGCUAUCCAUAUAUUUUAUUAAGGAUUAGAUCGGAAGGAUUUCCAGGUUUCCAUUAGACUAGCAGAGUUCGUAAAUCCAUUUCUUUCUUUUCUUUCUUCUCCUUUGUCAACUCCAAAGAAAAAACAACACUCCAAUUCAUCCACCCCAAGCCCAUAUUCUAAAUUUUUCUUCAUUGGAAUGGUGCCACUAAAAUGAAGUUUUCCGUGUGUCUACUAAAAUUCUCAGAUCUACUUCAUUAAUUUUCAAAAUAAAAUUUUAAUAUCCAUAUUGCAUAAACAGCCUCAAAAAUUAAGAAGGUGACAUUAAAAUUCGGAAAAAUAACAUAAUCAAUAAAUUUCAUUGGAACGAUAUUAUCAAAAAGAACAUCUACAUCUUUUGUUUUUCCCUUGGGAUUUGAUGUACCAAGUGUUCUAAAGCAUUAUCUCCCCAUUUGGAUAGUAGAUUAUUUACCCAAUUUUAUUUACUAGCAUCAUCAACACAUUUUUAAUCACUUUUUUGGAUGUUUACUGCUUUACAAUUUUAAGAUUUUUAUUGGUUUACACAAAUAUUGUGGUACAACUCAAGGGCCUCACCUACAAAAUAGAAAACCUAGAAGGACUCGACUGCAAAGUAACAUUUCUCUAUUCACCAAACCGACAUCCAUGAGCUCCGAUUCUCUAAUUAGGGCACAAUUAGACAGACCCCCAUUAUAUAAAAGAAAAGAAGAGGCAGAAAAAAAAAUCAAAAUAAAAAAAAAAUCAGAGAAAUUUUCCGAAGAAGAAUCAAGAAUGUCGACCAGGGUGGCUCUGAAGGCGAAAGGCGGCAAGUCCAAUCGGAACAAAGCCUCGGCGGCUGCAGCUGGAGAGGAAGACGGGCCGUCGACUGUGAAGAUUGUGACAGACUGGACCAAUUGGGGUCUCCACAAAGCAAAAGUCGUCGCGCACUAUGGAUUCAUCCCUUUGAUCAUUGUAAUCGGGAUGAACUCGGAGCCAAAGCCCUCUUGGGCUCAACUCUUAACUCCCGUGUGAGAAAACUGGAGAAUAGCUUAUCAGGGCCACGACCCAUGUUCUUGAGAUGAAGUAGAAAAAAAUGGGUUUUAUUUAAUUUGAUGCUUACUGGGUCGGUUAUAGUAUUAGUCGAUUUCACAACUGGUGUCUAGUUUUCGUGAUUUUGGAAUGUGGGGGCUUUUUUUUUUUAGUGUAAUGGGAUUGUGCUAUUUUUAGCUCAAUUAUGAACUAUCGCUGUGUUCUUGGGUUUUCUUAAUACCAUUAUGAUGUGAGUUUAGAGCCUUUUGCUUCUUCGGUGAGUAUGUGUUUUCAUCGAUCAGUCAUUGUUUAAUUUUUUUUUAAAAUUUUUUGGUUUUUUUGACUUCUUAUUAUUGUUUAAAGUUGGUAUUGUGGAAAAUCCGUUUUCCCCUGUUGAAAGUUGCAGUUUUGAGUUGGAAGAUUGAAAGUUGAUGAGCAGUUGGAAUUUCCUUGGCUUUAUUUGUAUGUGUUUGGGGGAAUGGUGGUUGACUUGUCUGGUGAAAUAUUAUCAUUGAAACUUAAGAAGCCGAACUUAGUUAGAGUAUUGCUAUUAACGGCCAUUUGGUUAAGCAAAUGUGUGGGGUUGGAUUAAGAAUAUGAAUAGGUCCAUACUUACUGGGCAUUAGUUGUACCUGUUCCUCUAGGAUAUAUUUGUUUAUUUGCUUUUGUUGAUGCUGAUUUUUGAUAUAUUAAAUUGGGCAAUUGUUGAUUUGAGGAAUAUGGGAAGAUUGCGCAGUCAAGCUUGAGUUUGUGUUUCGGUCCUUUUUGGUACGGUUCCUUCUAGAUGCAUAGUUGGUUAUGCUUUUGCCAUGUACUGAUAUUGUUGCGAGUUGGACUGGUAUGGUUCCAAGCUCUGUGCUCACGCUUGUGAGAGAGCUAACUUUUCUUCUCAUGCAUGGCCUGGUAUGGGUUUACUAACGUGUUGCAGCAUAUAUCUUGGAAUUACCUUGUUUUAGGAAGGAAAUUUUGUUUUGCAACUAGCAUGGUGUCUUAUUUUAAGUAGUGCGUCAUCAGUUGCAUUUCUUUUCUUAGUUGCAGUAGUAUACUCUUGCAGUUGGGCCCCCCCGGGCGCGGCCCGCAGUGGGUUAUAGCUGUUAGUUCUCCUAUUUUUCAUUGAUUUUCCUACUGCAGCCUUAUAUAACCUUUCUUUAUGCGCUGCGACAUUUUGGUAAUCAUGGAUUUGUUAUCACUACAGAAAUAAACAAAAGCUUCCCUUUCAGUUGAACUUGAUGGUUUUAAGCUUAUGAUGCUAGUUUUUGCCUCUUAAACUUGGGUGCAAGUUCUAAAACUGUUUUAAUUUUUUCCACCAGACAAAUCAAGUUUUAGCACUGCCUGCUGUUCUCCCAUCCUGUGGAAUUGUUUAAUGGUUGACUUUCUUUAAUGGUAGACUCUCUUUAAACAUUCAUCAUCUGGCUAUGGAAACUUUAACUUCUGUGCUUCUUUCUGCUUCUCAAGGGUAGUUCAGGUCAUCUUUGGCAUUGUGUAAUCUUAUCAUUCUUCUUAGCUUUGCGAUAUAUGUGUUAAAAUGGCAUUUCAUGUGAGAGUUCCACUGAGCAUAAAUUGAUUGAACAUAUCCCUUCUCUGUUCUUGUUAACAUUUCUGUCCUUUUGACCUUCUUCUACUUCACUCUCUUAUCUAUCACACUAGAGUUUUUUUGGACUAUAGAACUCCUUUAAUCUCCAUGAUAGAUUCAGGCAUUUCUGCUGUUAUAAUGGUCUAGCCUUUUUGAAUACGUGCACUCUGUAGCUGAAUGAGGGGGCCAGUGAUAUGAGCCUAACGAAGGUAACUGGUUAUAGAGGGAGUCAAUAGAAACCUUAGUGUAUGUGUACAGUCUAAAUUGAUAAAAUAUUGUGAAAGGGCCUGUAGAGCAGUUAAACUUUUUAUGUAAUCUUGUACUGUAUAUUCUUUAGGAUACUUGUAUCUAGAAGCAUUGAUUCACAGGGCAAGAUUUAAUUUAGAACAAUGACAUGUAUAGUUACUCUCAAAAAGGGACUUCUGUACAACUUCACUCAUUUUUUCUAGAAGUACCCUAUUUUCUCUUUCUUCUUUCCCUUCUCACUCAGUCUCUUUCCCUCCAUCACACAUCUUGUCAGACCUAUAACCCCUCCUUCUGCCACCACCUGCUAGCCUGAAUUAUUCUCUGCCUAGUUAUCUUUCUUCCUGGGAUAUAUACAUUCAUUCAUCCCCUUUUAUCUCUCCUAGUUCUGCAACAACACCCGUGGUGAUCGGUUGCAUAUUAGGUGGAAAUGGGCUGGCAUCGGCUUUGUGGUUAAUGGGUGUAGAUUGGUGUGACGGUAUAUGUGGUGGUUGGUUGUGGACUUGUAUGUAGAUGGUAUGGUAUCAGCCAUCCAUGGUGGAUUAGUCUGAUGGUUUCGGUGGUGGGCAGUUGCGAAUUGGUCGGGUUAUGGUGAAGGUUUCGUUGUUGUGGGUAAUGGGGGUGUAUUAGUAUGGUGUUUGAGGUGGUGGUUGACUGCAGUCGUAAGUUGCAUAGGAUAUGAGGAGGGAGGGGAAGGGGUCAAAGUGGGACUAGGAAAAGAAUGGAGAAACAUUAGGAGUUGCCAUGUAGGUGGCAUUUGCAUCUUACGUUUUAAAGUUAGUAAUCCUAUAUUGUUUCAUUUAUAAGCAAUUAAGUUUUGGUAUAUGCUACUGUGAAUACAUCUGCUGGAAGCACUUUGUCUUGGGUUUUCUCCAUCAUUUGACCAUGUUUGUUUUGAACAUCCCCUCCCCGUGGGUUUUGAGUUGGUUAUUCCUUGUGAGCUACACCAAAGCUAUAUGGAAAGGGUGCUUAAGCAAAGUUUACAUUGGUUUCAUGAUUAUAUUGGCAAAGUUACUGCUUUAUCCUCGUGGCCCAUAUCGAGUUACCUUUAAAUUUCAAGUAACAUUAAGUUUACGUUAAGCCCAGAAGUUCUUUUCAAGUCUCUAUUUCUGGUAAUUUCGCACGUCUGAUAUAACUUGGCUAUUGGCAGAGAAUCACUAUAGAUUCACAAUUUACAGGACCUAGCAGUAUUCCCUUCCUUUUUUUUUUGCCUUAUUGUUUUGUGUUCGAUGUAUCUUUUUGUUGUGAAUGUUCGUGUAUGUUCUCUUUUUGUUGCAUUUGUGUCAUCGAAUCUCACUUUGAAAUGGGUAUGGCUCACCCAGGUGUAGCUUUGGGAAAACUGAUCUGGUAUAUUCAAAAGUAAUUCAGUUUACUCUACAUUUAAAUUUCUUUUACCUGAAGUUUUGUUUUAGAGUUAAUUAGACUAUGCACGCUGCACUUUGGAUGCUGCUCUGUUGUACGUACAAGGCUUCUACUCUUGUGCUUAGUUUCUAUUGAUCUCUGCCUUCAAUAUUUGACUGUAGAAGGCGUCCGCGCUUUGUGCUUUUCUUCUCGACCUACCGGGCUGUGCUUAAUUUAUUUGCUGCCUCUUCUCUGCAUUGUCUCAUUUAGGCAAGUCUUUCGCUUUAUCUCUUUUGUUGAUGUGUUUCAAAUAAGAUAGUGUAGCAAUUACCACACAAUGUAACAAUGCUCUUGAGACGCGAAAUGUCUGUGGAAAAGGGGGUUUAGCUCGAGAUUAGUACCUAAAAAGAUGCGUCUGAUGAGCUUGUGACCAUUGGUUUGGCAAAGACAUUGUGAUAUUGGAGCCUUCAACACUUUUAUUAAAGAAGGGUUAUUAUCACUUUAUUUCUUUAAUUUAUAUCAUUAUAAUUAGUUUACUUCCUAACGUUGUCUUUUAGUUACUUCACUUCCAUAGAUAAUUUAACUCAAUAUGUUAAGAAAUUUUGGACAAAAUUAUCCUUUUAUUCUAUAGCAUUAUUACAUUGUUAUUAUCACUUUAUUCCUUUAAAUUAUAGUAAUACAAUCGAUUUAAUCGCAUUUUACCUCAUUGUUAAUCUAGUCAGUAUGGUAAAAAAAAUUUAAAUGCAUUUACCCCUUUUAUAUAUAAUUAAAAGUAAAAAAUUGGAAUGGUUAUUCUUCCUUUCGUUUUCACUUUAAGAGAUCCAAAAAGCAUAAAAAUAAAGAAUUUUCUGAAAUUUCUUUGUUCACACUUAUUAAUAUUAGGAAAAGAAAAAGAGAUAGGAGAGAAGGAGAUGGAAAAUUAGAUUUUACGAAGAAAUAAAAUAAAGAAGAGUCUAAAAUUAUCGUAUUAUUUUAAGGUUGUUGGGAUUAAAUUUGAAAUUGGGUGAUAAAUAGAAAAGUGAAAUAAUUUUAAAAUAAUAAAAAUAUUUAAUUUUUUCUUAUUUGUAUUUUUAAAAAAAAUAAUUGAGCGCUCUCUCUCCCACCACCUCCCUCCCAAUCUUUCUAUUUUUUUUAAAUAUUAAUAAGAUUGCUAAGAUAAAAGAAAUUAAUACUUUGACUUUUUUUCUUGAAACUAAAAAGGAAAAGAGUUAUUCUAAAUUUUUUAUUGUUUUCAUUAUACAAAAAGGAGAAUACUUUCUUUUAAAGUUAAACUUGUUAAGUUGGUUUAAUGAUGGGAUAAAUUGCCUAAAAAUAACUCUAUGAGGUAACUUAAUAAUAAAACUAUAGUUUAUGAGGGUAAAGUGAUAAUAAUUAUAAGAGCUAAAUAUGUCUUUUCACUUUAAUUAACAAAUUUCGUUAAGUUUGACCGUUAGUUUUGGAGGUAAAUUGAUUAAAAGGUAAUAUUAAGGGGGAAAUUAAUAGUGAUAUCAAAUGUUAAGAGGAUAAAGUGAUCGCCUACUAUUAUAUUUAAUAGUAGCUUUUCUUUAUCCUUUGCUCCAUAAAUCCAUUGCAUUUUUUUUUUUUAUAAAUAGAGGAUUAGUUUUGAUUAAACCCACCCAAACAUAUAGUGAUUAAUCUUGCUGGAAAUUAAUUUCUACAAUUUGUCAACAAAAUAAUAACCAUUUAUUGUUUGGAUUGUAAUUUUCUAAGGAAAUUUUUUUUAUAUUUUUCGUAAGCACAGUUACCAAUUGCUUUUAUAUCUCAUAUGCAUUAGAGUGCUACAAUAAUUUUCGCUACAAUAUCUCAUAUAUCUCAAUAUACAUUAGAGGUUACAUUUUUUUUAUUUGCAUGUUUUUUGUUUUUAUUAGUGGAUCAAACAAAAUUACAAAGAGGAAGGCAAUAAUCUUACCUCCUAGAGUACAUGGUCAGAUCUCACAGCUAAAAAGAUCAGAUUACCACCUAACUCAAAAAACGCAAGUUAGGGUACCCUAACCUAUCCAAAGUGAGGUCUCCGCGCACCAACCUUGGCAAUUGCAAAACCGACUCAUAGACAAUAUUAGAACCCAACUCCGUCCCAAUCUUAGAUAGCCGAUCGGCAGAAACAUUCGCUUGAUGGUAACAAUGAGUGACGGAAUGGAAACAAUGUCGAAAAACCAUCCACUCGUCUAACUCUCUUUGCAAACCCCAUGGACAUCUACCAACCCCCUUAACCAUUUGAACCAAGAGCAAAGAAUCUGAUUCCAAGUGCAGGCAACUGAAACCUCGCAAAACACACAACUGAACUCCAAAUAACAUAGCCUUUAACUCUGAAUGUAGGCUAGACGUCUCUCCCCAAUAACCCGCAAAACCUAAUAGGAAUGUACCCGCACUAUCCCUCAACACCCCCCUCCUCCACUCCUUCCCGGAUUACCCUUAGAGGUUACAUUUAAUCUAAUAUAUAUCUCAAUAUACAUUAGAGAGUUCAUCUAAUCUUUUCUCAACCCUAUCAAAACAAUCAGAGGUUACAUUUGCUAAUUUUUCUAUAGUUAAUUUCCAAGAUGAUUUAGAUUCAUAUUGGACACACUUGGAUUGGUAAUCAUAUAAACAUGGAGAAACAUUAUACGCACAUUGAUUAUCCCAACCAUUAGUAUAAGAAUUGCCCGAAUUGAGAUCAUUUUAAUCAAAACAAGGAUUGCAGUGCCCAAAUUCAUCAGAAUAAUCCACAUUUUGUACUUGCAUACAUGUACGAGUUGCAUGAUAACCUCCACACAAGUCACAAAUCACAUGAUAAAAAUUAAAAGUAUUAACAUUGCUCUUUUGCUCAAGAAUAUGUGUAAUGGUGUCCAAUUGAACUUUUAACGUUAUAUAAUCAAAUUUAUCUUUUAAACUCCUUAAACCAUUUUCAAAAGACAUACUUUCAAACACAUCUUAGUUACAUCUAUUCAAGGAGCUUUGCAUUGGAUAACAAUCCAUUGCCGAUCUUCCAUUUUUCAAGCAUUGUCCCUUUAUAUUUUCUACUCUCCUUGAGUCUCUAAACAUGUCUUCAAAGUAAUUCAAAAAGAAAUUUAGUCAAGAAGAAUAGGUGACUCGACACAUACAAAAAAAAAGACAUUAAACACAAAAUAAACGACUCAUCAAGACACUAAAUAUAACAAAAAGACAUUAAACAUAACAAAAACAACAAAAGCAAGUAAAAUAAUCUAAAUUAAUAAAGCAGUUCUUAGCACUAAUAUUGCCAAAAUCUUUCCCGACAACGGCUCCAAAAACUUGAUGAACGCUGGGCUAGGUAUACAUAUAAUAAUUAGCUCAUCCAUAAUCAAGUUUUAUAUUUAUAAAAUUCUAAAUACCCUACACGUGAUUUUGCGCAAAUACACGAGUCGUAAUUGAGUAUAGGGUAUUAAGGGUCAAACCCACAAAGAAGAUUGUCAAUUACCGAUGUUUUUCAAAUUUCUUUAUUAUUUAACCUAUCACAAAUGUAAAAGAUUAAAUCUAUGCUAUAAACAUGGAAUAAAAGGAAUAAAAAUAACAAUAGAAAACUCCUAAAAGUAUGGAAUUCCUUACUACUUUUGUAAAUGAAGUUACCAGUUAAUUGAAUGCUUGGUUAGUUAUGACAUAAUUUCCUAAUGUAUGUGAAUUCUACUUUUAUAGUGAAUCAACUAUAAUUAUAACUAAACCAUAUCUACUCUUGUGGUUAUGAAAUUAACUGCAAGUUCAUUCCUUCUAUGAAAUUACAUGAAACAAGUCACUAAAGCCAUAUAGGUGCACCUCUAUUCUCAUGAGUAUACUCCCUAGAUUUAUCACUUUCUUGAACUAGUGUUAAAUCUCAAUUCUCAUUACAAACUUAACAUCUUAAGAUUAUCACAAUUAAUGGUCGAUUAAUCAUGAUUAGAAAAGCAACAAUGAUAAAUAAAUUGUUCAAAAUAAUAUCAUCAAAUAACUAAGUAAAUAUCACUAAUAAGAUAUAGCUAUUUCAUCCAUAACUUUAGACAUAAACUUUAACUAAACAUGAAAACAAACGCCAAACUUGUAUUAUAAUUAAAUAUCAAUUCAAAUACAAAAAAAAAAAAGUGAUAGGAGAGAAGUCACCAUUGUCACAUGAGUUUCAACCUCUCCAUCUUUACUCGUCAAAUCUUCAUUCAAAUCUAGCUACAAAUACAAGAAUGAUAAACUACAUUAACUAUAUUAAUCUACCCUAACUAAUGAACUAAGAAAAUUAUAGUGAAAACUACAUUUUUGUGAAGUUUCUCUAGCCUUCCAAAGUUGUGAAAAUGGUCUCCUUGGCCUCUUUUUAUAGAUAGAUUCAAAUUCAAGAUGAGUUGUUUCUAGUUGGCAAAAUUGUUUCUUGAAACUCUCAAAGGUUGCUUCUCAAAAUUUCCAUGCUCAUAUGCUCAUUUCUAGCCGAAAUCUUUGCAAAAAAGCUGGUCAAAAAAGUUGUGUGAAUAAAGCAUAAGUUUCAGAGCAAGUUGCAACCACGAAACACAAAUAUGCCACCUUGAAAACAUGACCUAAGGUCGCGUAUUGUGCCCACAUUUUGCUCUUUUGCAGGUUUGCUCAUUCUAGGCAGAUUUCAUCAUUGCUCUAUUUAUUGUUCAAAUUCAACUGAUAGUUUCUUGAUAAUAGAGGUUAAACUAACUCUUAUACAAAACAUGAAAGUUCUAAUCCUUUGAGUUAGCUUUUCAAUGCAUGAAAAAUCAUCCAAUUUGGAGCUCUAUAGAUCAAGAACUGACCAAAAUACCCUCAACUUGUCAUAACUCUCUUUCAACUUUUGAUAACAAAGUUACACUUCUGUAUUUUGAUAUUUUGACGAGAAAAACAACUGAACUGGAUUUCAAUGUCUCAUAUCAAAUGUAGAUGUAUCUCUUAGCUUCAAAAUAGUAUAAAAAUCACCUCAAUCCAAUGCUUGUAACUCAAAGUAUAGCUGAAAUAUCACAAGGUAUCAUAGCUGUCAAACUUCCUUCUUGUAUACUAAGUUGCAUUUCAUCUUUUACACUUCAUAUUCUCUUUUUAUCACUGCAAACCAUCAUCAAUCAUCCAAUUAUCUUCUCAAUUCAUGCUAUUUGAUGAUUGAAUCAUUAAACCUACAAAACAUGAAGUUUUCGCCAUUAAAAUCCAUUAAAAUGCAAUGUUUGCCACUUAAAUCAUAAAAUGCAUAUUUUCACUGGAAACUUGGUUCAUAAGUUAUAAAACUAAUUAAAAUACACUAAACUAAUUAAUAAAGCACACUUGAAAUACUCAAAAUACACACUUAUCACAUAUCAAAGGUUGUAGUUGUUAUAAUAGAAUGCAUAAAUAAGUAGCAAUAUAUCAAAGACUUUAUAAUAUCACAACCUUAACAACCAACAAAAGUGAUACUCCUACUAUGAAGUUCUUCAAGUCUUCCAAGUCCUUCAUGGAUGCCGCGCCCAGGGUUUAUCCAGAGGAGGCCCCUAAUUUCAUGACUUGUACACUAAGAUAGGACAUGGGCAGAAGAGGAUCAUCAAAAGCUCUGUACAAGUUAGGUAAAGUGGUCGGUUCAACCCAAGGGAUAUGACACUUCGAGAUGCAUGAAGAUCGAAUAAUUGAACUAUCGGGCUGCGUGAAUGCAAACAUGCUAAUGUACAAGCUAGGAAAGUUGGAGAAAUAUGUGGAGAUGCUGUGGUGGCAGCACGAACAAUGCUCCAGCUAUUUGGAUGGACCAGACCGCCAGUAUUUCACCGGAGCACAAGCUUACCCUGGAUAUGGUGGUGCCCCUAGUUAUGAUCGAGGAUACGUUGCUGGUUAUUAAGGCAUCAGCCGUUUGCAAUAGAAUGCAGGAUUCCCCUCUAUAAUCGAGUCUUUUACUUUAUGGAGUUAUUAUGCCCAUUUGGCUUUAGGUUUUUUCGAGUCUUUUCCAAGUGUCUCUCGUUAUUGAAGUAGGAUUUGCUUGUUGACAUUGCUGAUGUUUUUCUCAGUCCUCGUGAACAUUAUUAUUAUUAUUAUUAUUAUUAUUAUUAUUAUGUUGGAAAUAAAUUACUAUCAGUUUUAACUAAAAAAAAAAAUCAAAGACUUUUACUAUUUGGAUACAUACAACCUAAGUAAGUAGAAUGCAUGAAUACAACCUAUUGUUGUGGUUCACUACUUAUGUUAAUAGUAAUAACAUAUCAUAGAUUGCAGUUGUUGUAAUAGACAAGUAAACAAAUCAGCAGCAUAUUAAAGAUUGUAGUGGUUGCAAUAUACAUAUAUUAAUUGUUAUGAUAAGUAAAAGAUUGUAGUUAUUAAAAUAUAAAUUUCAAAUUUAAAAGUUUGAUAAUAUGUUCAUUUAGGUAUUAGGACAUUAGAAGUCUUUUCUUAUAAAAUAUAAAUAUAAUUAAUUAGAUUUACUACUGUACAGUAGCAAGUUAUUGCGAAUUAAUCACUUGAAGGAUAACAAAUCAAUAUUCUCUCAGUUUUGGAAACAGCAAUGUUAGCCAACAAAGAAGAUUAACAUAUUCUUCAUUACUAAUAAAAUCAAUGAUUAAUCUAUUAGACAUUUUGAAAAAGAAGUAUAGUAAGCAUAGACAUGCAUCUAGCGUGCAAAGAAUAUUUGCCAUUCCUAACUCAAAAGGAAUUUUGAACACCAUCUAUUUAUAUAUUUUAGCACUUCAGUUUCUAGAUAAAAUCACUUUUUCACUUAAAAUUUUUCAAAAAUCUCACUAUUACAUCCCUUUUUGGAAGUUAAAUGUCAUGCAUUUAGAUUUAAUAGAGUAAAUGAAUUAUUACACUAGUAGUGUAGAAAUAAUCAAUCCCUUAUUUUUUUCAUAUAGAAAUAUAGACUACAAAAUUUGACUUGAUACAAAUUUGAUCUUCAUUUUCUAUAUGUGCUUUUACAUGAUUACUAGGAGAAUAUUUAUGAAAUUAUAGAAAUAGAAAAAGAAAAUAUAUCAAACUAUUCCACUUCCUAGUAUGUUUUCAAAUGCUUAAUUCCUUCCUCUACUCUAGUUUCAUCAUGCAUCUUUCUUUCCCAUUUUUCAUGUCCACAACAAGGUUAUUCUUUCUUCUUAAUCCCUAAUCUCAUCCUUAUGGUUUCUUCCAAACUUUUCCUUGUCUCCUAUCCACCUAGCAAUGUUAUUUAUCUUAUGUUAUUCUUUAUUAUUUCCUUUUUUCAUAAACAUAAAACAAAAAAUGGAAAAAUAUAGGUACACAAAUUUAUAGAAUAAUAAACUUGAAAGCUCAUUGUGCCAAAUAAUAUAAUUAUAUAAUGUAAUAGUUGAAUUCUUACCAUUUUGCUGUUCGGUAUUGAAAUGUCUAUUAGUCCAUUUCUUAAAAAAUGUAAUAUUUAAUUUCUAACUUUUAAUUCAGCUUGAUUAGGUUCAAAAUCAAAGUUUGUAUUAGAUUUUUGAUCCAAUACCAUCAUGAUAUGUUUGAGUCAAGAUUAGCUCAAUUAUGUCAAAACUUGAAUUGAGCCAUCUACAUAUGCAAUGCACACUUGAGUUUCUUUUGCACCACAUAUUCAUUUUUUUAAUUAAAUCAGUAUAAAAAUCAUACAUUACUUAAUUUCUGUAAUUGUGAUUUCACUUGACAUUUUUUUUAUUCAUUCAUUACUGAUGUUUGCAAAAUAUGUCUUAGAUAAUUAAUGAUCUAGAUAUAUAUAUAUAUAUAUAUCCGAGAUCAAAUAAGUUAUAAUUUUGCUUUCUUUCUUAAUUAUAACAGCAUAUUGGCUCCUAUGAAUUUUUCUUUAAAUGUAACUACAUAUUUAUAGUUUUUGUUUCUUUUCCUCCUCCUCCUCCUAGUUUAUCACUGAAAGCGUUUGAAUAAAAAAAAUUUUUACAUGUACAAUAUCAACCAAGUCACUUGUGAGAGUUAAUAUAUAUCUUUAGAUAUGUACUUCCGUUUACUAGAAUUUUAUUUAAUUAUUGCUUGUCAAAGUAAUGAAAAUAUUUCUACUAAAAAGGAUUGAAAUGAGAAACUUGUAGUUCUUCCAAUUCCCAUCAAUAUUUUAGGAGAAAAAAAUCAUCUUACUCUGGAUUAAGUUCUUUUUGCAUAUGCUUAUCAGUUAUCCCUCUUCCUGAUAUCUAAGAGUUAGGGAUUGGACUCCCUAUUAUUAUCAAACUAGUUGCAGGAUACAAUUAAUGGUUUAUACGCAUUUGAUUUGAAGUUGGAUGGAUGAGAUUGAUGGUACGGCAUAAAGUUUUAGUAUCAAAUUUUUGUUGUUUUAUCCAUAUGCUUAUUUGUUAUGUUAUUGAUAGGUUGCUUUUUUGUUAUUAAAUUUAUGAUCGUUUUUCCAUUGAUUUUAGCCAAAUAUUGCAUUAAUUGGUUGAUUUUACUCAUAAUUGGUUAUUGGUGUUAAUUGUUGAAAAAUGGUGCAAAAAGUAGUUAAGGGAGGCAAUUUUACAAAAGAUUAUGAACCUGUUCCACCAGAGUGCGCAUAAGUCCAGCUGUCAAGUUCGGAAAGCUCAGGAUUUUUGAAGCGCACGAAUGUUUCCUAGUGCGAGUUAAAUUCCGAGCAAAUUUUGGUUGAAGAUUUAGGAGAUAUCUUUAUUAGUCAGAAGAUUUAGUUAGGAAACAAUGGAAAUUAUCGUUAGAAGUUUCCUUUUCCACAUAGGAGUUUACUUUAUUUUAGCAAGCUAUAAACUAGGAGAAAAUGUAGGAAUUGGGAUGGCCAGUUCCGUGUGAUUAGAACUUCCAAAAAGAUAGAGAAUUGCAUGGGGACUCUUUAUAUCAGAAGCAAGAAACAAAAGCUCCGUUUUCUUUUCCGGCUGGAAGAAAAUGACAACCUCAGUUCUUCUUUUGUCUUUUCCGUAGCCGUAUGUGUCUAUCAAUUCACCAUACUUUUGCGUUGGGAUUUUUUUUCAACGAUGAGAUAUUAAUUUCCUUCUCUAGUCGAAUGUCAACUUGAAAACGUGGUUCCAAACAUCUGUGAGAUCGAAUUGAUUUUUAUUUGUUUCUUUUAAUUCAUCGGUAUUCAUACAAUUUCUAAUUUAAUUUUUUAUGAUUGUAUCAUUGUUUGAAUGUCAAGGGUCCGAUAUUCGAAUUAACUAAUAAUCUACUACCAUAUUAAUCGGUUAAAUUCGUAAUUAUUUAAUUGGUUAAUAUUAGUGGCGACUAGCUAAUUGAUCCCAUGUUAGGAAAAUGUAUGAUCUAAGUUAAACAAACCCUAGUAGUGUGUGUUUGUUGGUUAGAGUUGGAUUUUUCUAAUUUUUAAUACAAUCUAAAAAUUAAAUUCUACGGUCAUACACAAGGUUGUCUCUUGGUUAGAAAAAUAAUUAACGGUCAUACCUUGACUAUUGAUAAAGUAAGGAAAGUUAGCUGUCAGAAUUUGUUGAUAGCUAUAACCAUUCUAUUAAUGAAUAAUGGAACUAUCUUUGCAUCCAUGAUCAGCUAUGUGGACCGUGUCUGAAAAACUGCACCUUUGGUUAGAGACGUAUUUAUUAUUGAUUUAAUUCCUAUUUAUUUCUAUUAGUUGUUUUAUUUGUCAGUUAAUUAGUUAUUUUUUCAUUUUCCAAAACCCCCCAUUUAAUUCUUUCUUUAGAAGGAAAUAAAUUAUCCCGUCCUUGAGGAGAUGACCCUACUCACCGCUAUAUUUAAAUUUAAAUUUUUAGGGUAGAAAUUUUAAUUUUGGUGGUUUGACACCCAUCAAUUAUACUACACCACGAUGAAAAUUGUUUGGCGCAAUUGACAUGCAUAAUUGCAGAAUUGUGGCAUGGCAAUGCAUAUUGUGGCCAUUAUGCAUUGCAAUGUCUGUAUUCAAACUACAAAGACAAAUUUUUUGGCAUAAUACAGACAGAAUAGGUACAAUAUGGAAGAUUAUAUAUAAUUCUUUAUUUAAAAGUACGAUUAAAAAUUCAAUGGAGAGAUACGAGUUCUUGAAGAUUAUGUAUAUAAAUUCAUAUGUGAAUAGUGUGAAUGUGUUUGAAAGUUAAGGAACAAAAAAUUCAAUUAAAUUGUUAGUGAUUGUCAAAGAUUACACCACAUUGAUACCAACUUUAACUCUUUAUGCGUAUGUGAGACAUUAAAUCAAAUAAAUUUUUAUAAUCUUAUUUCAUUUAUGCAAAUAUAUAAAAUGACAUAAAUCAUUUUUUUAUUUUGUAUAUAACUUGCUGGAUAUGCCAUUACUUUUACCAAAAUUUUAUAAACCUUUUUCAAGAUUGAAUUGUUAUUCAUGAUGUAUAGUACACCAAAAUGUAUUACUUAUUUUAUAGGAUAGCUAAAAAGUAUUAGUAUUUUUAAAAUUGAUGAAAUAUGGAGGUUUUUUUAAAUUAUACAUACCUACUUACAUUUAGGAAUAUAAUACUAAUCUCUACUAACUAUAUGAUACAUGCAUGCAUACAUGCAUAUCUAUUUACCUUGUAUAUAUGAAGAAUUGGAGUUUAGUGUUUUGCUUUCUUUUCGCUACGUGGCUUCUUCUAUUGAUACAACAAGUGGUAUAUCUCUAUAUUCAAAGUAACGAUAUCCUUCAUUGCUUUUGUUGGUCUUUGUUAAUGGGCCUAAUGAACUCAAAAUAUUUUAGACUAAUGAAUAAAUUUUAUUCUCCAUAUUAUAACUAUUUGGCCCUUAAAAAGGGUGGCCUUUACCGGAAAAAAAAAAAA